rnacentral:lncRNA from 1 species
UUUUUUCAGGUUUUUCUUCUCCGAGAGGAACUCGUCGAAUAGCACUUCGUUUUUUAAGCUUUUACUUUCUCCUUCUUCUUACGCUUUGUCUGGUUUUGCUUUCUCUCGACUUUACGAAACGAAGGCUCUCUGCCUUCCGAAAAUGUUAUUUGAUUUUUGAAUGCAACAGUAGCCCAGCCUGCCUCUGUAUUGAAACUUAACUUUAUACGAAGUGCAAAACAAUAAAUUCUUACGCUUGGAACAAUAAAUAUACAAGUUAAAUUUUCUUUAAGCCCUUGAACCUUUUUUUUUUUUUAGAAUUUAAAAAUAUAAGUCUCAUUGUUUGAUUCUGAUGCAUGUGUUUUAAAAGGAUUAUACCUUACUAUUUUCAUCCGAGGGCACUUGCUUGCCAUUAGCACUUUUCUAGUUAUAUCCAAACUUGUUAAGUAUGACUCCUAUUUCAGUCCAAUUUGAGAAAUAAUCUUCUAGUUAAACUCUGUUUAUUUGUUUCAAUCAAACACUGAUUAGUUUAAAUUGUUUUAUUAUUAUUUGACAUAUGAAUUUAACUUAUAAAUAGACUCUUUUACAACCUUAGAAAAUACACUCACUAGAUAUUAGAACUCAUAACACAUUUAGAAAAUUUUGUGUUUACGCUUUAAGAGUUAUUUGUUUUCGAGUUUUCGGAGUUUAAUUUGAUCUUCAUCUUUUUUUGUAAUCUUCAUUUUUUUUACCAUUAUAGUAAAAUUAUCUUUGCCCGUAGUUUUUUAUCCUCUUUGGAGGAGUUUUUUUACGUUAAAUUUGUAUGUUCAAUUUCUCAACUUCUUCCGUUAUUUUUACUUGUUCCUUGCUUAAUCAAGUCAAUAUCCAAUAAGUGGUAUCAGAGCCAGUUUAAUUUUUAUGAAUUAGCUCAUUCAGAUAUGGCAACAACAUGGUUUAAAAUUAAGAAGUUCGAUGGUUAAAUUUCAAUCUGUGGCAAGUUCGGAUGAUGGCAAUUCUAUCAAUCCGAAUUGAAAAAGGUUGUUACCGGGAAAAAGCCUGAGAAUCUAAAUAAAACAGAAUGGAAAGAGCUUGAUGAAAAGGAUUUGUCUACAAUCCAGUGUUGCCUCGCGAAUACGGUAUUGCAGAAGGUAUUGAUGGAGAAGACCCCAUCUGUCUUAUGGAAAAGGUUAGGAACUCUUUAUGCAACUAAGUCUCUGGCUAACCGUUUAAUGCUGAAACAACAUUUAUUUACGUUUCACAUGAACGGGGGUGAGCUUUUUAGAGAUCAUAUCAGUCAAUUCAUUACUCUUUUAAAUAAUUUAAAGAACAUUGGGGUUCAUAUUGAUGAUGAAGAUCAAGCUAUACUAUUAUUGUGCUAUUUAUCCCCUUCAUACAAGUCUUUCAGGGAGACCCUGAUUUAUGGCAGAGACAAACUCUCGUUCGAAGAUGUGAAGGGUCAUUUGUUGAGUAGAGACAAACUCGACAAUGAGCUUCAUUUGGAUAGCAAGGCAGGUAGGCAAGCUUCUGUUUUGAUAGCAUCAAAGAAACGAGACAAAAGGUGUCGUUAUUGUAAAAAGUUAGGUCAUGUCAAAGCAGAUUGUUAUAAACUGUAAAAUAAAAUAGCUGCUGAGAGUAACGAGGAAGAUGUAGCUGGUGCUAAUUUGGCCGAUAAAAGCGGUGAUGACUUUUUGUUAGUGUCAAUGAGCGAUAACUUCAAGUUCACGUCCGAGUGGAUCCUAGAUUUAGGAUGUUCUUUCCACAUGUGUCCCAAUAGAGAAUGGUUCUCCACAUACAGUUCGGUUGAAGGUGAAGUUGUAUGCAUGGGAAACGAUUCAUCUAGUAAGGUAAUUGGUAUUGGUACUAUUAAAAUUAGGAUACAUGAUGGGACGAUUAGGACACUCUCAGAUGUCAGGUAUGUACCUGAUUUACGAAAGAAUCUCAUCUCAUUGAGUAUUUUAGAAUUGAAAUGAUGCAGAAUAAACAUCGAGUCGAGUGGCAUUAAAGUAUCUCGUGGAGCUCUCGUUUUGUUAAAAUGUAAAAGAAUUGACAACCUUUAUAUUCUGGAAUGUUGUACAAUGACUGGUGAAAUCAGAUGUCCUUCAUCUAUUACAGAGUCAAAGUCAACUCGUUUGGAGCGGAGGCAACUUGGUCAUGGGAGGGAAAAUUGUAUGACCGUUUCGUUGAAGAAAGGUUCUCUUUUAGAUACAGGUUUUGAAAAGUUAGGGCACUGUGUUCGUGAAAAUCAGAUCCAGGUUAGUUUUGAUUUGGUAGUGUACAAGUCGAAGGCUAGAAGUCUUCUAGUUUCUAAGCACAGAUUCGACUCAGUUAAGUUAAUUUUUUGCAUAGUUCAAGAUAGGCUCGUGGCGAGCUUUGGCAAAAAUGGCGUUGUAGAAAUAUGAGUUAAGGUGGAGAUUUGUUAAGUAUUACUCCUAUUUCAAUCAAAUCUGAGAAAUAAUCUUCUAGUUAAACUCUGUUUAUUUGUUUCAAUCAAACACUGAUUAGUUUAGAUUGUUUUAUUAUUAUUUGACAUAUGAAUUUAGCCUAUAAAUAGGCUCUUUUACAAUCUUAGAAAAUACACCCAUUAGAUAUUAGAACUCAUAACACAUUUAGAGAAUUUUGUGUUUACGUUAUGAGAGUUAUUUGUUUUCGGCUUUUCGGGGUUUAGUUUUUAUCUCCAUCUUUUUUUGUAAUCUUCUUUUCUUUUACCAUUAUAGUAAAAUUAUAUUUGCCCGUGGUUUUUUAUUCUCUUUGGAGGAGUUUUUUCAUGUUAAAAUUGUGUGUUCAAUUUCUCAAUUUCUUCCGCUAUUUUUACUCGUUCCUUGCUUAACCGGGUCAAUCUCUAACAAAACUAAUAUUUAAUGCUUUUAGAAAGAGAAUCAACUCUUUUCGAGAGAAGUCUUCGAAGCGUCGUCUUUCAGACAACUAAUUUGAACCUUUACCAAUUGAAUGAAUUGAUCUUGUGUCAAGGUCUUGUCCCCAGCUGCAAUGAAGAGUCGUGUACAAUUCACGAAUAAAAGCCAUGUACAUGCAAGACUCAAGAAAUAUGUUAGUAUUGAGCAUGUGAAUAAUAAUGGUGGUACCUAGGUUCGAGCUACGGUGCUCCCAGGUACCUCCAUUAUUAUUCACACGCCCAAUAUUAACACCUUUAUCAAGUUUUGCAGGUACCUAUCUCCACCAACCAAGACGCCCCCAUCUACGAAUUAUACACGACUCUCUAUGGAGGUUAUGGAUAAAAUCUUGACACUGAGACAAUACCUUCGAUUGUUAGAGGUCCGAGUAGGAUGCCCGGAGGACGGCACUUUAAAGACUUAUCCCAAAGGGAGUCAAUGUUGGAUCCGGUGCCCUGAGUAUAGUAUUUUCGUCUAUUUGCACUUGUAAUUUUUUCAAAUAGAUUGGUGAAUAAAAUUAUUCAUGAAUUACAUUAAUACUCUGUGUAAAUUGUUCUCAUGUGAUUUUUGCAUGUAACACAAAAUAGAAACAAAUUUUAGCUAGUUAAUUAUCUAAUGUUUAAACUAAUACUAAGUAGUAUUACGUGGUCAGGUCGUAAUAAGGAAAGACAACUUAUAUUAGUAGACAAACCUAAACAUAUUAUUAGUCUAAUCGGAAAUGAGCAAACAAAUUAAAAGACUAAUAUGAUGUCUAUCAAGUCCAGUUAAGGAGAUGUUUUGUCUUAGGCAUCAAAGUGGAUGACUCUUGAAAGAUAGAGACAUAAAUGUGAUUGACUAGAUUGACAGUACAUUGGAGUAGACCCAAGAAUAAUAUAUCCUAAAUUCGUUUAUGGAUUUAUUCACUUGUGACAUUCAAAGUGUGGCAUACAUUAAUCUUGAGUAGAUGGCAGACUAUAUAUGCAUAACUCGUAUACUUUAAUAUAAGUAAAUGUCUGAGUUUAAAUAGAUAAUGAAUCGAAAGUCGAUGUGUUGGGUAUAUGACUUUUGCAAUAUGUAAAGUCAUUUACGAUAGUGGAAUUCAUAGCUCGAGAUACGGGUAAAUGAUAUCCUCUUAUUGGCAUUACAUGAUUGAUGAAAAGUAAACGUGGUCACGAGUUGUUCGUCUUUGUGAUGAAUGACUUGAUUAAUAUUUAAUAAAAUUUGACUUUUCAUGAAAAAAGAUGUAAUGGUUACCAUGAGAUAAAAUAGGAUUAUAUCGGGAGAACGAGUUUAUCCCAAAUAGAUUAAGGAUAUCCCAUGAGGUAACACACUAAUGACAAUGUCAUUGGACGAGUACUAAUCGAAUUGCUUCUGUAAUGGUAUGUCAUUGGGAAGAGCGUAGUCAUGAUACUUUAGUGGAAUGACUUCAUGACUAAAUAAGUUUAUAAUUAAUAGGUGAAAAGUUGGAAUUUAAUUAUAAAUCACUCGAGCCUUGAUCGCAUAUAUCCAGUCGGUCCCUCCGCUAGUUCAUUGAAAUCAGAAAUGAAAUGCAUGUUGAAUCAAAUGAAUAGAAAUAGAUAAAAAUGGAAAAAAUGGAGAAAUGAGAAACAUUUGAAAAUAUAUAUGGUUUUCUCCAAAAUGAGAAUGAAAAUGACAUUUUCGAAUUAAAUAAAGUUCGAAAAUGGAAAUAAAUUGUUUCGCCAUAAUAAAUUCGUUGAAUCUAGAAAUAUUAAAUAUAGAUUUUUUUACGGUAAAAUGGUCAUGAUUUUAACGAAAUUAGAUUUGGAUUGAAAAAAUUAUUUAAUUGAGAUGUUUAUUUUGGGAAAUAAAAAAACAAAAAUCAGGUUGAAUCGAAUUAUAAAAUAAUAAGUUAAAAGUCCAAGAAGUAUUUAUACUUGGACUUGAUAUGGGAGAUGCCCAAAAGUCCCUCAUGUUUAAGAGGGGGACGACAAACCCUAGUUUGUUUAAUUAGGGUUGCCGCCCCACCUACUCCUAGCUCAACUAAUAGUAUGUUUUUCUAUUGAAAUAGACUUUUACAAUUCAACAAAUGUUUUACCUCUUCUCCUUAUAAAUAGAUGGUAAUGAUAGAGCUAGAUAUACAAUUUGAAGAUAUUGUUACUUAGCCCAAAAAUACUGAGAGUUUAUUAUCCAAGUAUUAAAUCUAUUUUCUGAAAUAACAAUUCUACCGGUUUUUAUUGAGAAGAGAUUUUGCUUUCACACUGGAAGUAAAGAAAAUUAUUUAUGGUUCUACGUUUAAUUCGAAUCGUUCGAGCUCAAACUCGAAGUAGUUUGUGGUACUAUAAUAAUGGAGAAGACUGUUUUUUGCUAGCCGAAAACACAAGUGUGAUUUCGGUAAAAGGUUUUUUUGCUAUAAAUAUCACAAUCCAUCUUGGUUUUCAAAACAAAUCCAUUGUGCAAAAAAACCAAUUUCAAAUCGUAUUUUUUCCAGCAGUCGAUUCUCCCUUCAACAAUGUCUAAAUUGAUAGUCAAACUAAUGAAAUGACUAGAUCAAUACAAUAUCGACACUCUGAAUAUAUCUAAUAUCUAAUACUUAUAUUAAGCACAUUACCGAGUCGCUAUCACAUUUACCUGAGUCAAAAACUUAGUUAUGAAAUUACAGAAGUAUCACUUCUUUUAAAUUAUAACUAACAUUAUUAUUAUGUUACUUUUGUCUUCCAUUUCUAAAUAAAACAAUUGAAAAUUACAAAUUCAAUAAUCAAACAUGUGUUUAAUAUUAUUAUAUUGCAUAUAAUCAUUAUUAAAAGAAAAUAAUUUUAAAAUAAAAUAUGUUAUUUCACCCAGAUAAAAUCUAGUUUAAUUAAAACAUUUUAAAUUUUUGAGGAAACAUUUAUAUUUAUUUUUUAAUUUAAUUUUAUAACAAGGGUUGGAAUUUUUAUUUUUAAUUUUCCAAUAGGAUAAAAUAAAAAAUAAAAUGAAAUAUUUUAAAGGGUUAAUGCCAUAUGAGAAGUACCUUUCAUAUUUCAAUAUUUCAUAAUAUGGGCAUGACAAGAGAGAAAAGAGGAGAGCAAAAAUUGGAUUUAAAACGUGUGAUCACAUGACAUUGAUGUCUUUCAACUGACUUCCCAUCUACAUCUUAAUUUUCAUAGAUACACACCGCUCCUUACUCUCUCCUUUUUUUAAUAUUAAUUUUCUCUCUCUUACCAAAGCAAUCUCUUAACCUUUUUUAUUUUUAAUUUUUUAUUAUCCAAUUAGAUGAUCAAUACUCACACGUACAUGAUUGAGACAUAUUCACAUUAUUAGGCCCAUACUACAUCUAGAGGUGCUCAUGAGUCGGGCCGGGUCAGGCCCAGGAAAACUUUUGGUCUGCGUCUUAGGCCUGGGCCCAGCCCAGCCAAAAAUAUGGACCUAAAAUUUUGUCCAGGCUCAGCCCGAAUAAAAUUCUUAAGCUCGAGUUCGGCCCGGCCUAUUUUUUUAAUAAACACUAAAAAUUUAUUUUAAAAAUAAAAAAUAAAAACGUAUUUUAAAAAUAUUUUAAAAUUAAAAAAUAAAAAUAUAUAUUUAUUAUAUUCGGGCCGGGCAGGGCCCGGGCCAAAAAAGUGAUACCCGAGGCCCGGCUCGUUUUCUAACGGGCCUCUUUUUUUGCCCAAACUCAUAUUUCGUGCCUAUAUUUUUACUCAAACCCUCUCAUAUUUCGGGCGGACUGUCGGGCUGAGCCGGGCCGCCCAGCCCAUAAGCACCGCUAACUACAUCCAAAGAUAAUUAUCUACAUGAAAGUCUACUAUUUAUUUAUUUUAGGGAUCAAAUUUGAAUUAUAAAUUUUUGAAUGAAUUAAAAAUAAAAAUUUAUCAUUAUAUUAAUAUAAAAUUAUACAAUUAUAAAAUUUUUAUUUUUAGAUAGCGCAUAAUUAAAUUUUAAAAUUUAAGAAGGAUUGAAAUAUAAUUUCACCAUUAAAUUAACUUAAAACAUUGCAACUACCCCACAUUUGCUCCAUCGGAAGCUCAAACCUAAAUAAAUUUUACAGGUAAACAUUUGUUGAUCAGUGGGCCAAACACAAGGGUUAAACUUUUUAUUUUCAAUUUAAAAUUAUGAUAAUAAGUCUCGCUUUAGUUUGUAAAAACAUUUCUUUAUUUUUAAUUUUAUUUUAAAAUAUUAUUUUAAAAUUUUUAUUUUUUAUAAUUGAAAAACACAUUAGGUAAAUCCAAAUAAAAAAAUUGUUUUCAAUGAUUCAAAAAAAAACAUGUUUGGCACUUGUUUUGUUAUAAUAGAAGCAUGAAAAUAAAAUAAUUAUUACAUUUAUAGACAUUUGAACUAGAGAAAAAUAUUUUAUAUUUAAAAAUUGUUAAGAAAAAUAAUAUUUUUACUUUUAUAUUAGUUUUAAAAAAGUUAAUACCGUUGAUUGAAUUUUAGCUCGAUUGGUAUGUGUAUUGUUGCCAAUAUAAGAGGAUAUGGGUUCGAGUGCGCUGAAGCACAUUGUCUUCCUAUUUAUGAGUUAUAGAAAGACUAUAAAUAGUUUUAAACAUUGUGUAAAAAAAAAAAAGAAGCAGAUAUUGUUAAAUAUUAAUAAGUUAGUUCAAUUGAGUAACAUUCUUAAAUAUUGUGUUAACUUAGAAAUUAGAAGUUCAACAAAUUAUACACAAAAUUCAACGGUUCAAUAAUUUAUAUGCAACAUAUUAACAAAAAUUGUUGCUCAACUUCAUGUGUUUAUCAAUAACUAAACUAAUUAUUUAGUUUAUUUAAAACUAGAUGGACUAAAUUAUUAAUUUGCACAAAGUGAAAGGAUGAAAGAGAGAAUUAAACUUAUUAGAUUAAGUACGGUCGAAUUUGAAAAAAAAAUGUUGAUUUUAAAAAUUAUUUAGGGUUUUGAGUCGAUUUAUGAUAUAUUUAGAGAAAUAGGCUAAUUUUAAAAUGAGAAGUGAAAAUGUGUCCUACAGGACACACUUUCUGACUUUUUAACACGUCAACUCCUUUGGUCAGAUCGUUAAAUGUAGAUGGUUUUGUCUUUAAGUUCCAAGUUCAAUUUUUCUCCCACUUACAUUUUUUAUUUCAUUUAUUUCAAGCUUUACUUUUAUUUUUAAUUACUACUUUUAACACGUUAGUUUCAUUGGUUAGAUGGUCAAUUAAUAGUUAUUAUAUCCUUGAAUCUCAAGUUCAAUUCCUCUUCUAAACGUAAUUGUAUUUUUUAUUUUAUAUUGUUUCAAGUUUUUUUUCUUAUUUUUUAAUUAAUAGGUAUAUCGUUUUCAAGUUUUUUAUUUUUAAUUCAUCUUUUUAAUUAAAAACAUAUGAAAAAUCAACUUAUUUCCCUGAAUAUCCCAAAAAUCGACCCAAAAUCCUAACUAUUUUUUUUAAAAAUCAGUUUUUUUUUUCAAAUUUGACCAAGUAAAUGUAACACCUUUCUCAUGGGAUGCUACACCAAACAACAAGUCAAGAAUUUGCAAUUUCAACUCAAAUUUUAAUUUAGUCAACCAUUAAUAAAUAUUCGAUAAUGAUACUAAUUAUACAAAAAAUGAGACUUAAAUCGAGCCUCAAGAACUCUAAAAUCAAUUUAAAAACGAGCAGGAACUAAUUUAAAACAAAACAGAAAAAUGAGAUAAAAAUAGAAAAUAAUGAUCACACCACCAAACAUUUUUAAUAUAUAUAUAUUUAGUUGAUAUUAUGAAUAAUAUUGCAAAGGGUUGUUUUAACAUUUUGAAUACUCAUAUUUUAGUAACAUCUUAUAAAAAAAAAUUGUAAAUUGCACCAAACGUUCCCAAACUAUUAUUUACAUUUUAAUUUGAUCUUUGAACUUUAAAAUGUCCUAAUUACAUCUCUUUGAAUUAUUGAGGUUAUAUCAAUCAAGCUUUUUUCGUUAUUCAAAUUGUUAGUUUCAUUGUUAGGUGAACAUUAGAUCCCAUGUAGCAUAACUUUUUUUAAAAAAAUUUUAAAUUAUGCCACAAAAGAUAUGAUGUGUCACUUAAUGGGGAAAUUAACGGUUUUAGUAAUGGAGGGACUUGAUUGAUAUAAUAUUGAUAGUUUGUAGGAUGUAAUUAGAAAGUUUUAAAGUUUUUGGACCAAUUUAGAAUGAAAAUAAUAGUUUGGAGGCGUUUGUUACAAUUUAAUUAGAGUUGAGUUAAUUUAUUCAAUUCAGACCGAUUGAGCUUUUGUUCAAUUGAUAUCAUUGCUAUUGCAACAACUAAAAAGAAGAGAGUUCGAAUCCGAUUUAAAAGCCAGGAGUGAUUAUAGACAUAAACAAACAUUACUUCAAAAAGAAAAAUCAAUUCAAUAUUUAUAAUGAUUAAUUCUAAUUAAAAUUGUUAAUACAAUUAAUUAAAUUGUUUAAUCACUUAACAAUGUUGUAAUUUUACUUGUAAAAAAAGUAAGAGUUGAAUAUAGACACGAACUUUAUGUUUUGGAUAUAAUGAAAUAGCGUAGUCAUUAACAUCUCUAAUGGCCGACUGUGGGUCAGUGGAGGCGCGUAAGCAGGUGGACAAGGUGUGCGGCAUGGACUAAAUACGCCUCAACCAUGCUGCCGCCCAUGCCUGGCUGGUCGGCCGACACAUGCGGCCCAAAAAUAACGGUUCUUCUCAAGUUUUCUUUCGGUCUUAGGUGUGGGGUUAUUAAUCAUUAAAAAAUUAAAAUUCACAAUGAAAAUGCUCCAGAUUGAAUCCAAGUUCUCGUGCUUACAACAUAAUAUUUUACGUAAAAAUGUUGUUAGCAUUUAAAUUCUAUUAUUAUUAUAGGUAAGUCGUGAAAAUUAACAUUUAUAAAUUUGAUUAUUUUUAGUUAUUUUCAUUUUUGAAUUCGAAAUUCUAGUUGUCGCUACAAGUGUUUAUAAGUUGGGUAGAGACUAAAUUCCAAAAAACAAUUCAAGACUUAAGCUCGGCUUGUUGAAUAGACCCAUUCUAUUGUUCAAAAUAAAUAAAAAGUACUUUUUUAAAAUUUAAUUAUAAAAAUAUGAAUAUGAAUAUCUUUUAUAUUUUAUAAACAGUAAAAUAGGGUGAGUCACUCGCGGUUGAAAAAUAUAAACCCAAGCCCAAUUCAAAGCAAAAUUAUGUGAAGUCCGAAAUCUUAUGCGACAAAUAUAUUAUUAUGCGAGUAAUUCUAUGUUAACUUGUUAUAUUCAUGUAUUACGAGUGAUGGAUCCCAGGACUAAAUUUUCGCGCUAGUAAAAUUCAAAAAAAUUUAGGAGUUUAAUAACAAAAUUUUAAAAAAAUUACGUCUAAUUAAAAUUUUUUAAAAUUUUUGUGAGAUUAAUGAGAAAUUUCAAAAUUCUAUAAGAUCCUAAUUAGAAAAUUUCAAGAGAAAAAUCAUAAUUUCCUUAGACCUUUUAAACAUUUUGUCUCGGCAUAUUAUCAAAAAGAAAUAGUUAUUAAAUUUAACUAUUAUCGUUUGUGUUAAAAUUAAAAUUUCAAAUUUCAAAAAGUAUAAAGAUUAUUAUGAUGCAUUUAUCACUUGUCUAUUUUCAAUAAAAGGACCAAAAUAUAAUCUAAAAUAUAGUAUAUGAACGGUUAUGGUAGUUUUUACAUUUUUUUAUUUUAAAAAACCCCUUUCUUGUUGUUACAUGUACGUGUAAUAAUUUUUAAUAAAACUGAACCACCAAUUGCAGUUAGAAUAAAGUUUACAUUUGAUUAAUAUUUGGGUAAACUAUUAAAAUAGUCAUUUUUGUUUGUCUCAUGUUAUAUUUUAGUCAUUUAUAAUUGAAAUGUUAUGUUUUAGUCAUUUACGUUAUCGUAUUAUAAUAUUUUAGUAACUGAACGUUAAUUGUCAUUAAUAGUAUAACGGUAGGCUAACGUCGCACGUUAAGUCAUAAUUUCAAAUAAAAAUUUUAGGUUAAAUUAUACAGAUUGGUCCUUAUAUUUUCUCGUUCUGAGCAAUUUAUUUAUUUAUCUUUAUUUUCCAUUUUCUUCUCUUUCUCCCUCUGUUUUCCUCCCUUUUCCAUUUAUUUUAACGUAGUUUUUUUAUAUUUUCCAUUUGUUAAAACUUUUUUAUGAGAACCAAUUGUAUAAUUUAACCUGAAAUUUUUAUUUGAAAUGAUGAUUUAGCGCGUUACAUCAACUUACUGUUAUACCGUUAACGACAAUUAAUGACUCGAUAACUAAAAUAUUACAUAUAAACACAAAUAACUAAAACGUAACAUGAAAUAAAUAAAAGUGACUAUUUUAAGAAUUUACUCUUAAUAUUUUGAGCAAACUUCUGUUUUUGGUUGUUUUAUGUACGUGUACUAAUUUUUAAUAAAUAAAUAAAUAAAAGAGGAAACUUUGUCUUAAACGUAAUUAAAACUGCUAAAAGCGAUAUUACACUUUAAUAAUUAAGAAUCAGUUCAAAUUAAGAAUCGAGUUAAUCCAUCAAAUCGGUUUGAAUUUUAAUAAUUUAAAAAAGCUAAUACCUGUUAUGACAAAAAGUGGACACGUGUUUAUCAACCGAAAGAAGACAUGAAAGGUCUGUCAUGUUCUGGCAAAGAGGCUAUUACGUGUCUUGUCCUCAAAUAGAUAUCUGUAUUGCGGUCUCUACAAGAAAAGGUGUCACCCACUUUCUUUCUUUUUUUUUUUUAACUAAUUAAUUGUUUUUUUAAAUUUAUUUUAAAACGACUUUAUCUUAAUAUUACUCCUCGAAUAAAUCGGAUAAAGAUAUUUAGAGUUUGAGUCAAAUUAUAGGGUUUAAAACAGUGAGUGAUGGAGUUGGAAAUUUUCUUUUGGGCCAAAAUUAAAUAGUAUAUUUUUAUAAUGGUAAAAAUAUAAUUUUAUUAUUUUAAUAGUCUAUAUCUUUACAAUUUUUAAAGAAUCAAAUCAAAAUUUUAUCAUUUUUUAGAGUGACAAAGUGUAAAUUUACUAUUACUAAUCUAAAAUUUUAUAAAUUAUAAAGAGCCUGAAUGAAACUUUUUUCAUUUUAAAAAGGUGGGCCCCGACCAAACCCCAUUGGACAAGGCUCCGAUCCCCUCAAAAUGAAAACUUUUUUCAUUUAGACUCAUUUAUAGUUUAUAAAAUUUUAAAUUAGUAAUGAUAAAUUAUACUUUAGUCCCCAAAAUGAUAAAAAAACGAUUCAAUUCAAUUUUAUGGUUUAUAAAAUUUUAAAUUAAUAAAAAAAUACACGAUUUAAUUCUGCUCCCCUCAAAAAAUUUUCUGACUUCGCCCCUAAAUUAAUAAUGAAAAUUUUCAAUUCAAUUGAGUUCGUUUAGAAAUAAUAAAAUUACAAAAUUAUACUUUGUCUCUUCAAAUUAAAAAUAUAUAUAUUUAAUCCAUUUAAAAACAAUAAAAAUUUAAAUUAAUUUUUAUUAAAAUUAUAUUUUAAUCUCUCAAAAAUUUUAUAAUUUUACUCGAUUUAAUAUAUGUUUGUACUUGUUUAUUUGUUUUAUGUUGAUCCAAGCCUUUUUGUUUUUGUUUUGAGAAUUAUUAAUGUAAUAUAAAUAAUAAAGUGGCCCGUGGGUUAUAAAAAAAAAAAUGAAAAUGAAAAUGAAUCUAUAUAUGUUCUUUUUUCUGCUUAAAUAUAAAAUUGAUUCUCAAGUCAUAUUGUUUUUUUUUUAUUUAAAUAUUUAUUUAUUUUUAUUAAAAGUGGUAUCUAAAUUAUCAAAUUUAUUUUUUAUUUAUGUUAUUCAUAUUUAUUUUACGGUCUAUUUUCGAGAUUUAUGAUUAUUCAUUUCAACAAUAUCAUAUCCAAUGUUCAAACUCGCAUUCUCUUAUUAGAAGUGUAAUAUGUCUUAUCAUUACGUCCAACACUUGUUUAUAUAAAUUUUGUUUUAUUUUACUAAAUAAUAUAUGACGUUUAGUAAGAAUUCGACGUGUUGUGCUUUUAUUAGUCGGUAUUAUAUUAUGGGAUAAAAUGAAAUAAAAUUAAUAAUUUAAUUAUCACUUUUGAUAAUAAUAAAAAGUAUCUAAGUAGAAAAAAAAUAUGGUUUGAGAGCUAAUAUUGCAUUUAAGCCUCUUUCUCUCCUCACUUUAAAUGAUAGGGUUAAUUGCAUCAGGGGUCUCAAAAGUCCAAAACUAUGCUAAAUUAUAAAUAGGUCCCAAACAUCAAGAUAUUUUAAUUGGGGUUUUCAAGUUCUAAUAUUAUAUUAACAAAUCUUCUUAUUAGCUUAACUAUCAACUUAGAUGUUAAAUUCUAACUCGAAAACAAUAUUGGAUCAAAGUUGUUUAUAUCGAGUUACUUGUUUUAAAAAUGUUUUACAUAAGAUUCCAGCUUACAUAGUUUAACAACCAAGUUGAUAGCUAAGCUAUAAAUAAUACUUAAUGGGUAUAACAUUGAUACUUGAAGAACUCGAUCAAAACGUUUUAAAGUUUAAAAAUUAACUUAGAAUCAAUAUCACGGUUUGGGAACGUAUGAUAUAAUUAACCCUAAAUGACAAUAAUUCACUUACACUAGUGUAAAAUUUUUUAAUAUAAAAGUUAAUAUAUUUAUUUAAUGAUAGAGAUAUCGGAUUAAUUCGAAAACUUGUAUGCACAACAAAUACAAUUGUAUUGAUAGAUUCAACGAUUUGGAUUGUUGAAAUACCAGUCGUACAAAAAGUUAUCGAAUAAUGUAAAACUAGUUUUACACUAAUAUAAAUGGAUCCUCCUAUAUAUAUAGGAGGAAUUCACUUGUAUCGAUGUAAAAUUGAAGUAGUUUACGCACAUUUUCUACGAUUAAUAUUUUAACAAUUCAACCGUUAAAUAUAUUAAUGUAGUUGUACUUGUCAUGCAUAUAAAUUUUCUAAUUGAUCAAAUCUCUCUAUCAUUAAAUUAAUAUAUAUUUAGUGGUUGAAUUGCUUUUUUUUUUACGUAAAACAUAAAGUUAAGACAAUUUUAAUUUACUCAAAUAUUUUACAUGCACGACCUACAUAAAUGAAACAUAAAAAAGUGUUAUACACUGGUAUAAAUGAAUUUAGUAAAAGUACCAUGGAGACUCCUGUAUUAGCAAUUGAUUUGUAUUUUGCCCCCUCUACUAAACAAAUGGGCAAAUUAGUCAUUGUAGGUUAGAUCAAAGAGCAAAUUGAUCAUUAUGUUAAAAAAUUUCUUUCAUUUCUAUGAUUAGGUGAUGACACAUUACUGUCCAGUUAUUGGAAUUAGUCCCUCUAUGCCAUAAAUUCCAUCCAUUUCACUUUUUAAUAAAAAAACUGAUCCAUUUCCGCCGUUAAAAAAUCUCAUCCGUCAUGCUUGAAUUAAUCUAUUUAUAUUAGUAUGAGGUACACGUAACACGCCAAUUGUCACUAUUUUAUUUAUCCAUUAGCCAUAUUAGCACGUUUAAUCUCAUUAUAAGUUAUUAUCAUAUCCGUUUUUUUAAUACAAUGCUUAGAAUUACCCCUAGCCCUCCCAACCCAUAAAUAAGAAAAUAAUAGUAUAAUACAUUUUAACGCACUCGAACUUACGUUUGCCUCCGCCGACAAUAUUCCUACUCUUAAUAAAGUUACAUGCAUAGGACUUUUAUUCAUUUAUAUUUAUAUUUGGCCGACAAUCCAAGUUGCAGAUUUUUGAGGAAAAAAGGAUAAAUAGUUAGAAUAUUUUUAUUUAUUAUAUUUUUCUUGGUUGAAAAAGCAAUUCCUUUUCUGGUGUUAGAUUCUAUUCGUUACAACUGGGGCAACCACUUUAGACUCUAAGAAGCUACCGUGUGAUAAUAAUGUAUAUUCACCAGAAAAGGUCUUCGAUCUUAAUCUUAAUUUAUCAACGAAUCCGAGCCAUGAUUUUAUUCCCCAGUAAUUUUCAAAAUAGAUGUAAAAAAACAUCGUAUGGAACCUAAUAUCUCCAUCACACACGAGAGUAUUCUCGUACGUAAAAAAUAUCGUAGAAGUUCUUAUAUUACAAGUCGGAUGAUAUUCUGUUUUUCCUAUUUAAAAAAUAGGCAAAUUCAUCUUUAUAUGUUAGAUUCAACCGUUCAUUGGUCCAUUUGUUAAAAAUUUCAUUCAAUUUUACUUUUAAUAAUUGGUCCAUGCAGGUCAGUUUAAGGUACAGUGGCACGUUGCUAUGUGUAACUGUUUGGUUAUUUCAUCAACCACACAGGUUUUUAACAAUAAAAAUGGAUGAAACUUUUAACAGAAAUAACUGGUUUGCUCUUUAAUCUAAUGUACAAUGAUUAAUUUACUUAUCUUUUGAGUAAAUGAGACAAAAAUAUAACCUAACUCAUAGUAUAAGAGCUUCCAUGGUACUUUUACCCUUUUCUUCUGAUAAAGUUUAUUUCGGAUAUUAAAUUUAUUACUCAAUUGGGAUUAGAAUUAGAUAUGAUCCACGUGUUUAGAAAAUACUCAAUCUCAAACUCAAAUUGGUAUUUAACACUUAAAACGAGGUUUAGGCUAAUAGAAUGAUUAAUUGGUAAAAUACUAAAUUUCUAAUAUUUGAGGACUCAAUUAAAAUGUUUUGAGAUUUAAGGAUCAAUUUGGCAUAUAAAUGAUAGUUUGAUGAUGUUUGGUGAAUUAACCCCAUUUUUGUUAAUUUCGGCUUGUUUGACUUAUCCUCUUGAUUAGACUUUAUUGGACUUGGUGGCCAAUGAAGAAACUAGAAAAAAAAUAAAAUUACUUCAUAAUUUUGAAAUUUUAAUAAAAGUGAUGAGACAAAUAUUAUAUAACAAUUAUAUUUAUUAAAGAUUAAAUAAAAUAUUGGAUGAAAUAUUAAAGUUCAUCGCCCGAGGUGUGGCCUAGAUUCGAGUCGUAUUAGUCACGUUUGUUGUUCGAGUUUUACCUAAUAUUGUAAUUCACCUAAAAAAAAUUUAUAGUAUUUUUUAUUCAAAAUUUUCUAUGGGUGAGUUUUUACUAAUUUAUAGAAAAUAUAAAAAGACAAACAUUAUUACUUUGUAAAACGAACGGUCUUUUUGUCAUUUUCCAAUUGAACUGAUGUUCGAUUAAUUUAUGACACCGACUCAAUUAAAGGCUUAAACAAUAUAAAAAUACAAGCAUGCUAUCUCAAAAUCUCAAUAAAGAAGCAAAGAUGGUGAUAUGGAAAUUCAAAAAUGUCCUUAUAGUGAUACGAGUAUUUUGUAAAAUGAAUGGUCUCUUGUAUCAUUUCUUAAUUGAAAUGACGUUUGGUUGACUCAUGACAACUUAAUCAAAGGCUAUUAAAAGCUUAGAUGAUAGAAUCGAUAUUGGAGAAAGAAAGCAUAUUAUCUCAAAGGUCAAAAUAUGUCAUAAUUCUUAUAUUCUUUGUAAAUUUAGAAUUUAGUCAUUAUACUUUUAUUCUUAUGAAUUUAGUCAGCUACUUUUUGUAUUCCGAAAUUUAGGUCCAACAGUUAACACUAUUAAAAUUAUUUUUGUUAAAUUCAGGUCUUUUAGUUACAUUGCUACUAAAUGAGUAUUUUUUUUAUUUCAAAAUGUCCCACCAAUAAAUUUAACAAUACUAACAAUUUGACCUGAAUUUUAAAAUCUGAAAAAAGUAGAGAGAACAGGGGAUACCAUUUCACCCACGGUGAGAUGGAAUCAAUAGGGUAUAUGUCUUUUAAACGGUGAAUCAACUCCCUUUUUACACCUGUGGUGAAGUGCGGUGUGGUAGUUGAAUUGCACCACACCCGUCAAUUUUGGCUGGUGCUUUAUGCUCCGGGGAUGGAGAAUUUUUUUACAAAAAUAACUUUUUUUUGAGUUGUUUUUAAUUAAAAUAAAUAUAUAAUAAAUUUUAUUCUAGUCCUUAAUAGUCAUUCUCUAUUCUCACAUCACCGAUAAAAUUGCGUUUGAAUCCAAAUAUACAUCCCACCGCUAUUUCUAAUCACACUGCCAUCGUUGUUUUUAAUCUCUCUGGAGGUAAACAUACCGUCCAUCCAACUAAAUUCCAAAAUUCCUAGAAAAUAAAAGUAAAUGGAUUAAAUUCCAAAACUGUGAAUGGUCCAGGACCUAUAUCACAUUUUUACCCAUCUCAAAACCAAAUCAAGAAGCAAAGAUGGUAUGAACCAAAUCAUAUUCUUCUUCUUAUUAUUAUUAUUGUUUAAAACUGUGUGAAGUGUGGAGACAGUCAACUGAAGGAAUAAAAUAAAAGAGAAUAAAGGCAAUGUGCCAAAGCAACAAAGUUAUAAAUCCAUGAUAUUAAUUUGAUAAUUAUAUUAAUAUGAAAUAAUAAAGUUUAUAGUAAUAUGCUUUACUUGUUGCCUCUGCAUGUAAGUCCAAAUAAUUACGUUCAAUGCUGAAUAAGAAUCACAGCCAUUUGCCUUUAUAUGCCAUUUCCUGUCAUAUUCGUAAUCUUAUUUCAGUUUUUUUUUAUAUCUUGGGUAAAAUUUAGUUUUGGUCCCUUUACUAUACUCAAAUUUUAGAUUUAAUCUUUGUACUUUUAAUUGAUAUAAUUUGAUCCGUCUAUUUUUAUAAUGUCAUUAGUAGAACAAUUUCAUUAAAAAAAAUAGAGUUAAUCAUGUCAAACUAAAGUAUAGAAAUUAAAUCUCAAAUUUUGGACAUAGUAGAGGGAUCAAAAUCAUAAUUUGACAUAUAUUUUUGUAUUUUAUAAGUUUCAAGAUAAUUUUAUUUUGUAUGAAUCUUGACUUGUUUUUUUUUGUAUUUUAUUCUUAUAAUAUAUAUUUUGAUCUAAUUAUAGAUUUUAUCAAUUCACUUUUAAAAAAUUGAGAAAUUAACCCAAUUCGGUAAAAUUGUUAAGUUUUUACAUGGAAUUGUUAACUUGAAAAAUUAGCAGUUCAACAAUUUAUAUAUGUAUAAUUGUAAAAAUUAUGUGCCCAAACAAUGCAUAUGCAACAAAUUAGUAAAUAUUAGCAAUUCAAAUUCACGUGUUUGCCAAUAAAUGGACCAAAUUAUCAGUUUUCAUGAAGUAUGAAGACUAAAUUCUAAUAAAUUAAAGCAAAAGGAUUAACUUCUUAAAUUUCAAAAAGUAAAAGGAUUAAAUUUAAAGUUAUACCAUUUUUUGUCGUUGAAGAAAAAAGGGAGAAAUUACUUUAAAGAGCCCUUACGCGUUUUAGCACGAAAACAGAUGGACAUUGAAAAGAAAAAGUGAAAGGAAAUAGUGAAAUUUACUUCUUCCAGAAGGUAUCUAUGUCACAUGAUUUCUUUAUAAUAAUUAUCAUAUUUUAUGUUUUACUCUUUUAAGAUAAAUAUCAAAUUUAUAUAUAAAAUUUAUUUUAAUUUGUAAUUUGACAUAUAAACUUUAAUUUUGAUUUAAUUAUAUUUAUUUUAAGAAAUAAAUACGUUAAUUUUUAUAUUAGUUAAAUAUAAUUAUUUGUGUAUGCAAUAUGUAAACGUAAAAUAAUAUUAUAUUAAUAAUUAUGUUAAUAAUUUGUGAAUAUUAAAUAAAAUUAUAAUUUAAUAUAUAAAAUUGCACAAAUUUAAAAUUUAUCCCAUCUAUUAUUAAUUUGUGAUUCUACUUUCUAGUUGGCCGUACAGAUAUGUAACCAUAGAGAAAUUAAAACCCAAAGUUUUGUCAAAUUUUCUACUUUCUAGUUUACCGUACAUAUAUUUAAAAAAAAAACACAGAUUUUAUUAAUAAGUUGAUAUGUAACCAUAGAGAAAUUAAAACCCAAAGUUUUGUCAAAUUAAAAUACAGAGAUCAAAUCUUCGAGUUAAGUUUAAUAAAUGAUAAAAAUCAUAUUUUGAGCACACUUAUAUUUCGAUUCAACCGUAUAAUUAAAAUUUAAAAAUGAGAAAAUAUUUGAUGCAUCAUUAGUAUAUGAAUUUCAUGAAUAAUAACAUAAUACAUAAUUACUGAAUAAAAUAAAAUAAAAAUAGCAAGGACUUGAAAAUAAACACUAAUGACUUUAUUUAAACAUGUUUGCAUUUUACAAAAUAAUUAAUUAAAAUAAAUAUUAAAAACUUAAAACUUUAAACCCAACCGUGCAUCAAAUAAGAGAUCUAAUAAUAUCAUUCACCACAAAAACUAUUAAAUUACCAAGUGUUAAAUAAAUAUAAAAUUACUUAAACAAAUGGUCGGCAGAUAAUGAAUGAUGUGAAAUGUGCUUUCCAUUCAAAGAUAAGGUUUGAUUGUUACAACUAAAAGAUGGUACAUGGAAUUGGCUACAACUAUUUGAAUUUUGAACAGAAAAUUGACAAGUGUUCAUAUUACUCUUGUGGUUUUGUACCUGGCUAAUUAUGUGUGUUUGACAAUCAUGCAUGGAUUUUUCUUCACUCAACCACUUCCUAUGGAAAACAUGAGUAACUCGUUUGAAAUUCGGGUAACUACCUCUAUUCCCGGGUUAUCGAACUGGACAAAGUUUCCAUAUUACCAUCAGUUCCAUUUCCGGAAAUGGGUAUUGUAUAUUUAUUCAUUGUCCUUCCUAGACUGGUGCCAAGUUUAUCCUGUUGUAAACAGUGAUAGAACAUGAACGGUAAAAGUAUCAUGAAAACUCUUGUAGUAGUAAGUGAAUUGCACUUUACCUCCUCUACUCCAAAAAUAGACAAAUGAGUCCUUGUAUCAAAAAGUAAAUUGAUCAUUUUGUUAAAAAUUCUAUCCAUUUUUACUAUUAAAAACUAGUCCAUGUAUAUCAGCAUGAGGUAUACAUAGCAUACCAUGUAUAGCUGUCUAAUUACUCCAUCAAUCACGCCAGUUUUUAACAGUAGAAAUAGAUGAAAUUUUUAACAAAAAAGACCAAUAUGUUCUUUGAUCUAAUGUAUAAGGACAAAUUAACCCAUUUUUUUUAGUAAAGGGAGCAAAAUACAAUUUUACUCUUCGCAGGGGCUUCCAUGAUAUUUUUACCAACAUGAACUGAUUACUGUGUUACAACAAUUACUUAAUUGUCUCGUUUUUGCUUAAUAAAAAAGCUCCAAUCUAGAUGUUGGAAGUUAAUUUUUACCUCUUGAAAAUUGUUCGUUGAAAAACAGAUUGGCAUAGAUUAGCUCAUUCCAGGUAUCGGGAACUCCGGGAAGACACCAAUGGCUGCAAUCUUGAUGCCUUGAAGAAACUUUUUUCCCUUCUGUUAAUCCCUUGCGGUAGAUUGACGGAUGGCCAUCCUUUCGAGAGUUAGUCAAUCUUGUUAUGUUUAAAAGUGCCACGGGCAACUUCAUUUCCCGAAUCACUUCUUCCACUAUUUUCAUUUUCGGAGGAUAGGUUUCGAGAAAGGCACCUCUCUUCAAAAUUGGUUCGGUUUCCCCAUGACAAGUUCCCCCUGAGUUCCAAUCUCCACCUCUAUUUCAAGGAUCAGAAAUUAAUUAGCCAACACAAGUUAAUCCGAUAUACAUAUGUGUAUAUACAAUACACUCAUGCGGUGCAUGUUUUAUAUAAAAUUGCAUGUUAAAUGCUUCUUUGAAUACAAAGCUUUUUUAUCAAAUGGUAAACAAGAUACUUACGGAUUUUCAUUUCAAUAAUGAAUAGCAUUAAUCUCAUUUCCCUAUAUGGAUUUUCUUAAAAGGGAAAGUGGGUGUUUCGCAAUGGAAUCAAGCUUAAGAAAAUCGGGCCGAGGGUCAAACCCUGGUUUACAGUCUAGGUAAUCUAAAUAUAGUUAAUAACUAAUAAAAACAUGCAUUUAGCUUAAUGGUACAAUAUUCAAUAUAAAACUAAGAGGUUAAUUGUUCAAAUCUCAUCAACCACGAUCAAAAUUACGGAUUUUUAAAAUAUAUAAAUGGUUUUUAUCUAAUGGUUUGCCUGUUAAACCAGUUCUCUACCAGUUUUAGAUACUAUACUGGGUUAGACAGUCAGUUCCUAGUUUAACCGGUCUAGCUUUUUAAUCACUAAAGGGAAUGAGAUCGAAGCUAGUCUAAUGGUAAUAAAGUGUGUUUCGGUUAUACCUGAAAUGAGCAGAAGAGUAUCCACGAAAGAAGACCAAUUGUUUUGUGGGUUUAAUAUUGUCAUCGAUCCAUUUUGCCCAGGUCUUCAAAGCUCUUUGAUAAGCUUCCAUAGCAUCAAAUUUCGGAUAAACAUAAUCACCUUCUUGGUAGUAAUUUCUCCUGUAUCAACUAAUCAUAUUUGUCAUUUCUCCAUAAGGCUUUGCUUGAUAGAAUAGAUAUGUUGGUAACAAAGAUGGAAAAGUGAAAAGAAAAAAUAAAUUUCUUUCCACACAUUGUUCGCUAUGAUUGAAAAAUGAAACAAAAGAAGAUAAAAGCAUACUGAGCUAAGAUGGAAAAACAAGAAUGAAGGAUUAUCAUGAAAAUAUACAGGGCUUGAGACACUCUCAUUUUCAUCCAUCUUUUCUUUUUCGAUUUUAAGUGAUUUAAUUUUGUUAAUAGUAACAGAAAAUGAGAAUUUUUCCUAUUUUUUCCCUCUUACUUUUCUCUUCUACCAAACACACCCAAAUUUCAUUUUCUUUCAACUUUUACAUUCUCUUUUAUCCAUCUCUCCCACUUUUUCACUUACCAAGUACAACAGCACGGCCUAAAAGUAACUUUUCUUUUAAUUUUUCGACUUAUGAUAUUGCAACUCUUAAUCAAUGUAGCAUAAAAAUAAAACAUGUAUGAAGUAUAAUUGUAGUGAGAUUUGUAACGUACCCUCGGGCAGUCUUUCCAUGAACCCACCAAUGGGCGGUAUUGAAAAUGAGAAUAUCAGCUCGCUUCCAUUUACGAGAUGACUUAUCAAUUAAAUCUAACGAUAGAGUGCGAGAACCUUGUCGUACAAGAAAAUGAGACCUUACAAAUUCCACCGUACAGUUAUAGUCCUGCUAAAAAAUCGAAGUUUAGAUUGUUUUGAAAUCACAAACCGCUGUUUUUCAUAAAAUCCUUUUUCUGGUUUCAAUUGUUUGUAAAAGUUUUUUUUUUUCCCAUUAGCAGUUCACAAGUGAAAUUAGUUUAUUUUUCAAAAUAAAAAACAAAAUAAUGUAUACAUGGUCGCAAUAUGCUAUUGGAAUAAAAUUGUAUACUCUCAACUCAAAAGAUUAAGUGCUUGAUGAAGUUAAAAGGUUCGUUGAAAAAGAUGCUUUAGAAAACACUUGUCCAAUUAAUGAAACAUGAAGAAACCUAAUGAAAGAUACGAGAGAUUAUGGACAAUUUUGAGGACUCCUAUAGAAAAAUGUGGUCUUUAAAAGAACGUAUAAAGGAAAGUAUAAAGGAAAAAUGUAGCCAUUAAAAGAAUGCAUUCAACUGAGUAAUGAAGAAAUAUAGCAAGCAUCUUGUUACCUUGAUUUUGAAUAAAAAGUACCCUCUUCCUUUUGAUACUUUGUUGCCAUUGACCUCGUACAUUUUGCUCUUAUCGGUAAGGCCUUUGUAGAGGAGGCAUAACAUUGACUCAAACUGAUUGCGGUUCAUUGAGUCUCCAACCAGCAUCAGUCUUUUACCUCUUAGUCUCUCCAAGAAGUCCGUAGCAUUAAACCUGAGUUCAAUUGGUAAAUUAAAAAAAAUAACUUGCAAUCAGCAAGUAAAUGUGAGGAAAAACAAGGUUAAAUAGAAAGAAACCACAGCUAAGCAGGCAUUAAUUAGCAAUAGAGUUAAUUGAAAGGGCUGCCUUGUCAAAACAGAACAGAAAUUCAGUGCAAUAGGAUAUCAUCAAUUUGCAGUAUUUAUAGCUUCAAAGAUGAACUAAAAGUUUUUAAAGUACUAAAGAUGAAGGUAUUAAUCGUAUUCUUAGGUUCUUGUAUGAACGAUUAGAGUGUGCUUUAACUUAAGCAAGGAUAGCAAGUCGAGGUUAAUAUUACAAAAAUGCAUGAAAUGAGAAAAUAUAAACCUCUUCUUUAGGUCCAAAAUUCAAUAACUCACCCUCAGUCACUUCUAAUCCGAGUUAUUAGCAUAUUUAGAGCUUUGAAAUACUCAAAUUCUCAUCUAUUCUACAAUCCAGAAAUAUGCAUUUGCAUGCACUAAGCAUCUUUCCCCAUUUGAUGCCAACACAAAAUAAACGAAACAGGCUGAAAGGAAAGAAUUUCCUCCUGUUUAUCUAUGCAAGUGAUUUCCCCUUUGUUUUCCUGCGACUGCCCAAAUCUCUAGAGCCCAAAAUUAUCAAAGUCUAGCCUUUUUCUACUCUUACACAAUAUCUGUAGCUUUGGGGGAAUUUUAAAUGCACGGGUUGGGGAGCAAGCUGCCAGGAAUACCGCUCUUCUCCACACUCUUAGAUCAAUAUAGCUGGCUACAUUGCUUUCUCCUAAAUCUUCCUAAAGUCAAAAUUACAUUUUGUUCUUAAGUGGAGUAGCAAGGAAAUGCCCCUUGAUAAGUUACAGCGACUUGAGAAGGGGUCUAUAAUAAGAGUAUCUAACCAACAUGGGCAUUUCAUGUUUUUCGGAAAUCCUUUUACGUGAAUCUUGAGUAUCCAAGUCUCAUACUUAUUUGCAGUUAUAAUGCCAAAGAAGUAUCAGCCUCGGCAGGUAUAUUAGGACAAAGCAAACAGUUCAUGUAGCAUAAUGUUCUAAUCUAGCAUUAGUGAUAGCUAGAGUAACUCAUCCUUGAAGUAUUAUUAUCACCGAACUGGUACAAAAGAGAGUAUUUCCACCUAUAUUGUUGCGACUAACAAAGUAAUAGAAACAUUUUACAAGUCUAAAAGCACCAAAGAUGUACUUGACAAAAUACACUAGUUAUAACAAUAGUCCAUAAGUUUUACAUAAAAAUGUAAAAAUAACCUAGGAAGUUUAAUACAAAAUACAUAAUAAUAUAAAGUAUUAUGCGACCGGAAAAGGUAAAAACUUGCUAAGAAUUUGAAAACGAAAGAAGAUAAGAGAUUCACCAUAGAAAAAGUAAACAAAAUUUGACUAACAAAUAUGAUAGCUUUUAACCCUACAAAAAGAAUUCAGGCUAACCCCAUUACAAGCCAGUAUUGACCUACGAUAACUCUAAUACUCGGAUAACUCAUUUAUGCAUACAACUGACUGUAGAACUUUAAAAGGGAAUUCUACAAAACAUUCAACUUGAGCCACAGAAAUUAGGGAUUAACUAAAAUCAUUGACAAACAAUACACUUAGGCCUCCACAUGUGUGGCCUUAGAGAAAAGUUUUCCUAAGAUAUAACUAAAUAUACUAAAAAUUUCAUCCCAAUUUUUAAUAAGACAAAUUUGCAAUGACAUUAGAUCAGAAGAUUAGGUAAAUAAAGUCUUUAAUUUAGCAAGAGUAUUUUGCUAUUAGUUCAUUUGAUUCAUACAACCAUUCUUAAGAUGAGGUAUUCAAUAGAUUUGGGGUUCAGAUACCAAUAUUUGCAGACCCUUCCCUGAUUCCCAAGGCAACUUGUACUACUUGAAAAUAUCACAUAGCACAUUUGAAGACCACAAAAAGCAAUGAACCAUUUUCACUAAAUGCAUCUACACUAAAAUAAAUUGUUUGUAUAAUGUAAAGAGAAAUUGCUUUUGAUACACAGUAAAAUUAUAUAAUUUUAAGGAAAUGAACACAUACCUUGGAAGAUCACAGCCAUCAGGCUUCCACCGCCAUCUCAAAUAAUCAUAAUCUUUCCUUCCAUUGCCAUGACAGUCAAAAGCCUCGUCAACGUAAGGGCAAGAACCCGGUUUGUAAAUUGGGUACUCUUCGUCUCUCACCCAAGUCCCAGUGUAAAGAUCACAGGUUUUCCUCUUCUUCACUUCACCCUUGCGAACAACUCCGUUAUUUGGCGGCGGUGGGUUCCGUUUCUCUGGAGCAGCUCCAUUACCAGCAGGUGGGUUCUGCCUCUUUGGGGCAGAGAACGGAUCGUCCACGCUUGUGGCAUUUGAAGAAGAGUCAAGCUUAACAGUUUGAGAAAUUGAAGGGAUGGGGUCUUGGUGGGUUGAUAAGUUCAGUGGCUCUGAGCCAGCCGGUCGCGGCGGAGAUGGCGGUGGUGGGUCGGGAAAAGGGGGAACUAAAGAGUGAAUGUGAGAUGUGGUGAGCGAAAAAGAUUCCUGGUAAACGGAAAUGGAGGGCUCAAGCGUGCGUUUACUGAAAAGAACAAUGCUGAAGAAGAACAAUGCAAUGAAGACAACUGUGGUUAAUGCAAAACGGGUUUUUCGCGAAAUGGAAGGAGAAUCGUCCAUUUGGAUUUGGAUUUGGAUUUGGUUAAGGGAGAUUGCAUCGGAUCUUUUUGUUUCCUUUACUAUUGGCAAAAACACAUCUCCAGACUAAAGAGUGAAUGUGAGAUGUGGUGAGCGAAAAAGAUUCCUGGUAAACGGAAAUGGAGGGCUCAAGCGUGCGUUUACUGAAAAGAACAAUGCUGAAGAAGAACAAUGCAAUGAAGACAACUGUGGCUAAUGCAAAACGGGUUUUUCGCGAAAUGGAAGGAGAAUCGUCCAUUUGGAUUUGGAUUUGGUUAAGGGAGAUUGCAUCGGAUCUUUUUGUUUCCUUUACUAUUGGCAAAAACACAUCUCCAGUCCCUCUUAAUUUCGAUAAUGAGUAUAUUGAUCCCUCACAGAAAAAUCGAAACAAUUUAAUCUCUUUCAAUUUCAAAAGUGAGCAAUUAAGUAUAAUUAGUCUCAACAUUAAUGUUGUUUGUCAAUUGUAUACAAUUUUGGUUGCUAUAAUAACUUUAGCUUUUAAAUUUUAGACAUUUGGUCAAUAUGGUCUCGAUUUAACACAUUUAGCCUAAAAUAUUUGUGUAAAUGUUGAGGUUAAAUUUAUUGAUUUUUUAAAAUUAAGACUAAAUUGAAAAAAUAUGUAAAUAUUAAGGGCUAAAUUUUUUUAUAUCAAUCAAAAUUAUGUACAAUUGAUGAAAAAUAUUAACACCGUGAUUAAUUGUUUUAAGUUUCUCCCAUUUUUUGAGAGGGAUCAAUUUGCUCAAUUGUGAAACUAAGAGGCACUGGGAAUGUCUUUUUACGUUUACCUUUUGAAAUGUAUAAACAGAAACUUGUAGCAGGCGGCUGCAAUUCGACUAUUUUUAAUUUUUAGGGUAAACUACUUAGUUGGUCACCCAGCUUUUAGGGUUAUUUCAUUUUGAUCAUUAAAAAAAUCUUAUAAUUUCGUCACUCAAUUUUUAGGACAUUUUCAUUCUGGCCACCCAAAAAAUUUCUUAACGGUGGCUAAUUGUACAAGUGAAAUCAAUUAAAAAAUAAUGCACUAAAAAAAAUAUUGUACUUGUUUAUCCAAUUACCGAGAAUUCAAAAUUUUUUUUCUUCAAUGUUGAAAUUUUAAAUUUCAAAACAUUAAAAUCAAUUAAAUAAAUUAUUUAAUUUAUUAUUGUAAUAAAGGAAUUCAUAAAUUUAAUUUCAUUCUAAAUUUUAAAAAUUUAUUUAUAUUUCUAGAUUAUUCUUUACGAACUUAACUUAAAUAAAUCAUGUUUAAUAAUUGGCUACAAAACAAAAUUAAAUUUGUCAUAUAAUCUUGAAUCUUCCAUGCUAAGCUGGAAAGAAAUGAAAAAAAUCCUUACAAUUAAUUAAAUUAAAUUAAAUUAUUUUUUUCGUUUUAGUAAAUAAGCGAUUAAAAGUGGUAGGUUUUGUUAGACAUGGAAAAUAAAAUUAAUUAAUUGUAAAAAAAAAUUCUUUAUUUUUAGCUUAGCAUGAAAGACUCGAGAUCAUAUAAUCAAAAGAAAUUUGGACUUUGUAGACUGUUAUUAAAGAUAGUUAUUUGAGUUUAUUAUAAUUUGGAAACCUAAAAUGAAAUUGUAAAUUCUAGAAUGAAAUUAAAUUAAUUAAUUUUAAUAUUAUAAUAACAAAUUUCUUAAUACUAUCAAGGGAUGAUAAAUUUUCAAUAAUUUAAUUAAUUAAUUUUGAUAUUUAAAUUUUUAAAUUUAAAAGAGAAAAUAGAACUUCCGGUAAAAUGGUAAACCAGUACGAUUUGACAAUUUUUAAUGCAUUAUUUUAGUUUUAGUUGUUUUUUUUCACUUUAAUUCUAAAUGUCCUUUUUACCCCAACUAAUACUUAGAAAAAAUAAAAUUGGUGAUCAAUAUGAAAGUGACCUAGAAGCUAAAUGACUAAAAUGAAAUUAUAAACAUGAUGUGGCGAGUAUUAGAGAUUUAAUGCUCGAGUAACUAAAAUGAAAGUGCCUUAAAAGUUGAGUGACAAAAUUGCAAUGACCAAAAUGAAAGCACCUUAAAAAUUGGGUAGUUUACCAUAAUUUUUUUAUAUAUAGAUACGAAAAUAGAUUUUGGUGUAUAUUAAAAGGCAUAAUAAUGAAUUUAUCCCUCAACAUUUACGUAAUUUAUCAAUUUGGCCCUUGUUAUUUUUUUGGCUAAAUUUGGUCGUUGACCUUUAAAAAAGAGCCAAUUCACUUUUUUUAAAACAGAAAUGAUGAUUAAAACAUUAAAUUUUUAACAACAUUAGCGUGGAAAAUUAUGUGACAAUUCACAUGUAUUUCAUAUGACAGUAUUUGUCUUAUAUGUCACUUUAACUAUUAAUCUAAAAGUUAUAAAUAUAUUUUAAAUUAAAAAUAUCGAACUUUUCAUAAAAAUUCAAAAAUUUAACAUAAAGUACAUGUGAAUUGUCAUGCGAGUUGCCAUGUUUGGAGCUUUAAUAUUUUAGUCCAUAUUUUUAUUAAAAACAAUUUAAUUUUUUUUAGGUUGAUGGUCAAAUUUAGCUAAAAUAAUAAUAAAGACCAAAUCGAAAAAAAUGAAAAAAAUUAAGAACUAAAUUUAUGUCAUUUUAAAAAAGAAAAACACCUAUAACUAUAAUAUAAUCUUAGUAUUAUCCAAGUAACUAUAAAGCAUAUCCAAGCCAUUACCAUGUACACACAAACGAAAACAAAAAAGAUUCGAAUUAAAACACGAAUAUAACCCAUUAUUCAACUUAUUUGACAGGAUGGUUAAUAGAUUAUUUAUGGUUAAACUCUUCACAAUUUAUUAAUGGGUAUAACUCAUUUGGUAUGAAUAGUUUAUCAGUCUAGGCGUGGAUGUUCUUGUUUGGAAUUAUGCAACUGACAUUAGAGAUAUAGUUUGUUAAAUAUAAAAGUUUAAUGAUAUAAAUUGAUAAAAUUAAAGAUAGUGAUUUAUAAAGAAGUUGAAAUUAAAUUCACUAAUCUAGAAUAUAAAUUAAAUUAUAUCACACUCAUGAUGUGGGUGAAAAAUAAUUAUUUUAUGUAAACCACGAGAUGGAGUAGUAAAAAACUUGUAUAUAAAUUUUAUAUAAAUUUUAUUAAACAUGUAUUUGAUCGAUGAAAGUACUAUAGAGAUCAUUGUACCCGGAGUUUGAUUGUAUUUUGCCCCAUCUACUAAAAAUGGGCAAAUUAGUCCAUACAUGUUAGAUCAAAGAGUAAAUCAACCACUCUAUUAAAAAAUCCAUUCACUUCUACUGUUAAAAACUGGUCAUUGUAUGUCAGCGUGUCAUGUGUUGUUGAUUAUUUUGUUAGCCAUGUCAAUUUUUUGUAGGAAAUGAACAAAAAUUUAAAAAAGAUGACAAGUUUACUCUUUGAUUUAAUAUACAUGGGCUAAUUUAUCAUUUUUUUAAUAGAUGGGGUAAAAUACGAUCUGAAACCUAAGGAUCUCCAUGAUUUUUUAACGUAUUUCAAAUGCAAAUAUCUUUUUUUUCAUAUUUUAUGAGAAAAUUUUAAAGAAAUGACAUUAUUAUUUUAAUAAUUUUAAAACUCAUUUAAAUAAUGUUUUGAAAAUUACUAUAAAAAAUACAAAAACUAUAGUAUUUCAACUUCAAUUUUUUUGGUAUUUUUUAUAUAAAAAUAUAAAAGAAUAAAAACAUCAUUAAAAUGAUACAAAAUUUUAAAAUAAUGAUAUUUUAGUCAUUGACCAACUGAAUUGGUCCAAUUGCAUCCACGACACCAACUUAAUCAAGUGAUUAAUAUAUAGUAAGUACAAAUAUUAAAAAUACAUUAAAUAAUAACAAAUAAAUUGUUAAAAUUAUAUAACUACUAUUAAACUAGGUCGGAUUGGUCGAUUAAAUCAAGAACCGAUUAGAGCACUGAUUUGGAGAGAGGGAAUACACUAAUUGACUCGCAAACCAUUCAAAACCUAUUAAACCAAGUUAAAAAAACUAGUUGAACCUAUUUUCUUUAUGUUUAUUUUUUUAAUUUUAUGAAUUCUUAAUAAUAUAUUUAAUUAAAUUGAACGAAUGUGAUUUGAUUGGUUCAAUCAUCUAUCAUGUUCUAAAAACCUUGAUUUUGAUAUUAAAUAUUUAAACUAAAAGUUUAGAUAAAUGGCAUUCAUUCAUUUUUUAUUUAAAUUUAUUUUUUACUAUUAACUAAAAAAUUAUAAAAAAGUACAAAAGUCAUUGGCAUAAAACAGGGUAUUGUUUCUGGUAUAAUUAAAAACGAAAGAUUUAGCUAAUUGAAUCUUAACUCGAUUGGUAUGCGCAUUGUUACCAAUGUAAUAGUACGUGGGUUUGAGUACACUAAAUCGCAUUGUCCUCAUAUGAAAGUUUAGAGAUGGGCUAUGGGUAGUUCUAAGUAUUAUGUCAAAAAUAACUGAUUUGAUCAUAACUUAUAAACGGAUUACAAAAGAAAAGGCUUAAUGCAUAAAUUGGUACUUGUGUUUUUGCUGGUUUAAUAUGGUACCUAAAUUUGACAAAAGUUAUAGUGUUUAAUUCGGGGUUUAGAGUUUAUUUAAUAAAAAAUCAUAAUUAGCUAGCAAUAUUAGCAGUGAAUUUUCAUCGAAUCAAUCCUAAAUAAUUAAAUUACAUCCAUAGGAUUGUAUUUGACAAAUCAAAAGCAAAAUUAAACAAAUUCACAAUUAACACUAAAUAACUUCAUUCAGAUCAACCAUAAGACUCGAAUUAGACACUAAAAAGAUAAUAUUGUUACUUCAAGUACCAAAAUAUAUAGUUUUUGUCAAAUAUAGGUACCAUAUUGGACCAAAAUAUAAAACAAGUAUCGCAAUAAAAAAAAGUGUAAAAACCAGGUACCAAAUGAUAUAUUAAGCCUAAAAAAAUACAUAAUCUUAAUAUCAUGUUUAUAAAUAUUAAAAUACCUUUUUUAAUGGGUAAACUACACCCAAUGUCACUAAACUAUUACUAACUUUGCUUUUUAGUCACUAAAUUUUAAAAAGUUACAAAAUGGUCAUCAAACUAUUAGAAAGAUUUUAUUUAAGUUAUUGUGUUAUUAAAGUCGCUAUUGUAUGUCAUUUUCUAUUCACAUCGCUUGCACCAAUCGAAAUAUUUCAUUCUUAUUCUCUUCUAUGGUUCAUUUUUUCAUGAAACAACAUUAAACGUUAUGAGUCUACGAAUUAAAACUCAAACAACUUUAUUUUCUGAUAUUCGACAUUAAUUAUCAGAUCGUUUGGAUCUAAGGCAUGCUCUACUACUCAUCGAUGGGUACCAAUCAACCUUACUGAUCGUCAACUCAUCACUUGGACCUUGCUAGUUUGACUAAAAAAUAAUUAACAUCACAACGACUUAACUAAAAAAGUUCAAAUAGCUCAAUAGCUUAAGUGAAAACUUUCAUAUAGUGUAAUUAUUAUUUUGCACAUUUUGGAGUUAAAUGUCAUCAACGUAAACUUGUGAAUAGUUUAGUGAUAUUGAGUGAAAAUAAUUAUGUAAUAUUUUUACUAAAAAUUGACAUGAAAAUGAAAUAUUGUAUUAGUAGAAACAAUAAAGUAAGAAGAGUGUAUAUGAUGGUGUAUUGGGUUCAUAUUAGACAUGAUCAUGGACUGGUUCGGAUGGGCUGAAGCAUAAUUUUAGGCCCAUUUUCGGGUUGGGUCAAUCUAAAUUAAAAAUGCUAAACCUGAGUUCAACCCAACCACCCGUAUUAUUUUUUUUAGAUUUUUUAUAUAAAAAUAAAUUUUAAAAAUAUAAUAAACCAAAUACACUAAAAACAUUAAAAUAAACAUUUCUCAACAAAUUGAAAAUACAUUAAAAAAGUCUUUAUACUUAAAUAACACUAAGAUAGUUGCUACUUAACAAAUAAAUGUCUCUAAAAUAGUAGCAAAAUAGUAAAACAACAACAUAGCAACAACAAAACAGGGAAAAAAAGUUUAUGGGACAAAAAAAUCAUAUCCUAGGCUCAGCCCAUUUAGAAAACGAGUAUUAUUUUUUGUCUAAAUUCAUUUUCGAGCCUAUAUUUUUUCCCAAAUCUUUUUAACUUUUUGGAUAGGCCUUCAAAUCGGGACGAGUGGUCCGACCCAUGAUCAAGUGUAGUUCCGAUUUUAUUAUUAGCAUACAAUUUUUUUUAGAUUUUAUAUAAAAACCUUAAAUUAAUAUUUGUUAUUUUAUUAAAAUAAAAUUAUUUUAGAUAUAGAUUUGUGAAUGUAAAAACACCUUAUUUUAAUUCAACACAAACCCGACCCGACCUUAUCUAUUAUAAACACCUCCGUAGUAAUUGACGAACACCGUUUUAUUUUCUCAAGCAAGUCGAAAUAGAAACCUCUUUUUCGAAGCCCCGACCAGCUCUUGCAAGUAAAAAUUCCCGCCAUGGAAAUCGCCGACGCCUCGGAGAACGGUUCGGCAAAGACCCAGGCACCGAACAACACGGCUAUAGUAGCCGACCCAUCAGCCGUAAGCCCUUCAGAAACGACCGCUAAUAACCCAGCAGUAGAGAAGUGGCCCGGCUGGCCGGGUCACUGCGUUUUUCGGCUCAUCGUGCCGGUUUCUAAAGUGGGCAGCAUAAUUGGCCGUAAAGGCGAGCUUAUCAAGAAGAUGUGCGAGGAAACCCGGGCCCGUAUCCGCGUACUUGAUGGUGCUGUUGGAACUCCCGAUCGAAUUGUAAACGCCCUUUUUUAUUUUUUUAAUUUUUAGUUUUUACCUUCAAAUAUUUUCCUUAUUUUCUCUUUCACCGUAGUCGAUUCAUUGGGCUCUCUUUAGUUUAUAUAAUAAGUUUGAUAAUGAAAAAACGAGCUAAGGGUAAAAGAAGCGAAACUUUAGGCCUAAUUAAUCUAUAUUGAUGCAAAUCUUGUAUCUCUUGAUUCGAAAAAGUUAAAAAUUUCGUUUUUAUUUUCUUUUUGGUAGCGAAAAAUUGCAGUAAAAGUAACAACUGAGCUUAAUAGGAUGGUUUCCCAUUGUGAGAUUUAUGUAAAUCUAGGUACCCUUUUGUAACUAUUACUGUAUGGAGAAGUAGAACUGUUGUUUGUAGGCAAAGAUUUGAUUUUGGAGCAAAUAGUAAGUACUCUGUCCAUUGUGAGAUUUAUGUAAAUCUAGCUACCCUUGUACUGGUUCCUUGAAUUUAUUGGCUUUUUCUUGUAGGUGCUAGUAUCUGGAAAGGAAGCACCAGAGGCGCCUCUUUCGCCUGCAAUGGAUGCUGCUAUAAGAGUUUUUAAACGUGUCUCAGGAUUGCCGGACAACGAUGGGGAUGCUAAAGCAGCUGGAGCCGCAUUUUGUUCCAUCCGGUUGUUGGUAGCUUCUACGCAAGCAAUCAGUUUAAUCGGAAAGCAAGGCUCCUUAAUUAAGUCAUUACAAGAGAGCACCGGUGCAUCUGUGAAGGUGUUGUCAACAGGUAUGUUUUGUACUUCUUAAAAUAUGUAAGAGUUCUUUGCAUUUAGGUUUCAGUUGGUGCAUAUGGAUUGGGUAAUGAAAUAUAUUUAUCUUGUAAUUUUAAUGCUCUCUCCCUAUUUUGUGUAACGCUAUUGUUUUGGGAUUAUACAAUCCUUUUGCCUUUUGAUUGAGUUGUUUAAUCCUCGUCAUAUAGGAUAAAACCAACUGAUUGUUCUAUCCUUUAAUUAAAAAGGUCGAGUAAUUGAUAAAUAUGAAAUUAAAUAAGAACUUAUCCUACGCAUUCCCAUGCUAGGCAUGAAGUAAACCUUAAAUCAAUAAAGUCUUGGCUUAAUUCUGCUUGGCUCAGUGCAUUAAUGGAUAAUUAUUGAGAUCCCGUGCCCUUUAUUAUUUAUUUAAUGGGUGCACGCUUAUGCUCAUUUAUGUGCAUGCUUCAUUUAUCUAUUUUGGGGGGAUUUCACGUGCUUUGGUUAUCUGUUUGUUUUGGCUGGAGGGACUUUGUUGGAAGGUGUUAUUGCUUAAAUCAACCAAACUUGCCUCCUCUUUUAAUUUUAGUAAAGAUUUGGAGAACUUAAGGAUGCCCUUUUUCCAGCUGAAUGUCUUCUCAUCCCUGUUAAAGUGAGGGCCCUCCUUGGUGGUGCAUGAAGUUUUCCAAUCUGUAUAGCUGAAAAUUCACGUUCCUGAGACUUAGAUAACAUAAUGAUACCUGCUGUGUGAUUUUAGCCAAUAUCCUAACCGGCUGAUUUUAUUGCUUAGCUUUGUUAUGUCGAGGAAUCAAUAAGUGGCUGCCUUAGGUUGUAAUGUCCAAAAUCUACAAAGUGUUGGUCAUAUUGUCUGCUUCAAUCAUUUGAUCCUUUGAUAAUUCAGCUGAACUUUACUACUAUUUUAACUCAAACCGUUGCAAUUGUAUGGUUCUAGACGCAUAGAAGCCUUUUUUAUAACUUGUACAUGAUACUUACGAUUCUAGUAAUAGAAGGUAAUAAAUUUUGACGUUUCCUUCGAUUAUUUUAGACCAUUAUGGUUGCAUAAAUUGUACAAUAGAUCCAAGUUUUUGUAUAUUAUUCUGUUCAAGAAAUGCCCUAUAAAUCAUUUAUUUUUUGGUUUCUGUAAAAUUCACGAUGAACAUGUUUCUGUUGUACAGAUGAAACACCAUCUUAUGUGGUAGCAGAUGAGAGGAUUGCGGAGUUGCAGGGGGAAGCCCUGAAGGUUCUUAAAGCUCUUGAAGCAGUGGUGGGGCACCUGAGGAAAUUUUUGGUUGAUCACACUGUUCUUCCUCUUUUUGAAAAGACCGUAAGUUCGAUUCCUAUCAAACUGUUGUUAUGUAGACUGCAGCUGUUUCAUGCUAAGAUUUGCUAUGUAUGUUUGUAGCAUAAUGCGGUUGUCACUCAAGAUCUCCAAGCAGAGACAAGGGCUGAAAAGUCAUCUCUGCUUACCGUUUCUCAAAGUGGAAUCGGAAUUGAUCUUCCUAUUACAGCAAGGAGAGACUCUUUAUUCCUUGAUCAUGAAAAACAGUUCGAAUCACGAAUCCCAUCUGGAAUUUCAUUCUAUGGACAGGAUCCUGCACUUCCGACAGUACAUUCUAGUUCAGGGCUUCUUCGAACUGCUGUUCCUAUAGUUACUCAGGUUUGUUUUUACGUGUGCCUCGGUUAUUAUUACUAUUUUUUAAUUCCUUUUACCAAAAUGGGAGAGAGAGAAAUCAGAGAUUAUAAUGUCAAACAAGGAAGGGAAAGGGGGAUAUGGAGAUGAGAUUGAAAAUUAGAGGGCAGAACCAAAAUAGGGUAAGAGAGGGAAAUCUCGUAUUCAAUACUCUAAAGUCUCAAUAAUUCAUAACCCGAAGCUGGUCGAAAUUCAUAAUCCGGUGAAGCAUUUAUUUAUACAAGACAUGAACAUAAAAUGCCAAAUAAGUAAAACCCCAAGGUGAUUCUCCAUGAAAUUAAGUACUAUUUUAGUUAGUAGUUAAUUCAAGAGGGUGAGAAGAAAAUCACUUUGAGCCAUUUUUUAGGUCAUUCAUGCCCUACUUGCUCCAAAUCAUUGCUACUUGAGUUAAAGAACUUGAAUGUGGCAAUCUUUCUCUUAAUUACAUGCUCAUCAUUACAUACAUUUAAUUCAGCUUAGAGAUUUUUUAAAUGAUGUUUUGUUGUUGAAAUUAGGAUUUUGCAUUACAUUGGUUUAUUAUGUAUUGUCAUUUCUCUUCUUGCAUUUAUGGAAUCAGAUUGCUCAAACCAUGCAAAUACCAUUUUCUUAUGCUGAGGACAUUAUUGGGAUUGGAGGAGUUAAUAUUGCACACAUUCGUCGCACUAGUGGAGCCGUCAUAACCGUGCAAGAAAGUGGGGGCCUAUCUGAUGAAAUAACGGUUGAAAUUAAAGGCACCUCAUCUCAGGUUCAGUUGGCUCAACAACUUAUUCAAGUAAGACACUUUCCCAUAAGACCUAUUUGUUAAUUCAUUAUAACCGGCUGGCGUUUCAAGUUUUACUAUCACUAUUACUUCUCUUUUGCUAUGUAAAUCAUGGAACUAUGCCUCCUUUGUUCUCUCUUUAAUGGGUUUGAUCCGUGUUUAACAUCCUUAUUCAAUGCAUAUUUGAACAUGGGUUCCAAUAUCUGAUACUCUAAAACCCCUCUAAUACAUGGAAACCUUGAGAAAAAUUGAACACACAUCCGACACACAGCCGAAGACUAGUAACAUGAAUAGAUAUUUUUCUCUAUAAACAAUCAUUUUGGUGCUUGCAUUAUUUACAUAUUAAGACUGUUUUAAUACAGGAAUUUAUGAGCAAUCACAAGGAUCCGGUUAUGAGCAGCGGUUACAGAGACACGAGUUAUAGGUCCUCGUUUUCGCAGUUAGGCAGCUCAUCUGCACUUUCAUCCCAACCCUAUGGUGGAUAUGGGGGAUCUUCAAGUGUAAGUGGCUACUCUACUUUUAGGCUUUAAGAAAAUUAUCAUUUUACCUUAAAUUCACUUUGGAGUAUGAACUUGAAUGAGUGUGUUUCUCUGAUGGGAUUGACAACGGGGCGGGACGGGGCGAGUGAGGAGUGCAGACUCGGGUUAAGUUUCAGAAUAUAUCUAUAAACUUAAUAUAAAUUAUAUACAUAUAUAUAUUUAUAUAUAUGUAUGUAAAAUUAUUAGUUCAUAUUAAUGCUUUCUUGAAAACAUUUGAUGUAAUAGGGAUACAAGUAAAAUAUGUAAUGAUUUACAUCCAAGUUUGACACUCAAAAACUUUAAACAUUGAACCUUUUUUGCCUAAUUCUACUUCAAUUAUCUGAUAAUAAUAAUGCCAUAAGAUUAUCUAAUUAAUUAUCUUUAUAUUUGUAAUUGUACCCAAAAAAUAUAAUUUUCUCUAUUAUGUCCAUUUACAUAAUAUUUAUUGUUAAAAUACUGAUACACACAAUAUAUGUUAAAUUAAAAGUAAGUAAUGCUUAUUCCUCAAAAAAAAAAAAAAAGUAAGUAAAUAAUGCUUAAGAAAUAAUUUUUAAUUUUCUAAAUAUAAAAAUUAGUGUGUACUAUAAUGUAUUAAAAAUAUUUACAAUAUAUUAUUUUACGUAUCAUUUUAAAUAUAAUGUAUGUAAAAGGAAUGCAAGUACGAUUUUAUUACCAUAAUUUUGAAUUAUAUUAAUAAUAGUAUCUAAGAAAUUAAAAGUAUAAAAAAGAUAAUUAUUAUUUCUACAAGGAUUAAAUAGGCAUUUUAUCUUUAUUUUAAUAUUAUUUUAGUCAAUACAAUAUAAUAGCGUCUUUUAUUUCAUUUAACAAACCAUUCAUAAUCGAAAUAAAUAGCGUUAUUCAAUAUUCAAUAAUUUUAUAUUCAAAUUGAAUUUUUUUUUCACAUAUUAAACAUUUAUUAAAUAUUCAGUUAAUUUUACAUUUAAAAUGAGUAAUUUCACACAUGACCCAGUAUGUUUUUCCCACCUAUUUUUAUUAUUAAUAUUAAAAAAAAUGUUUAAACAAUAAAAUGGGUUGGUGAGGUUCAUGAAUAUCAUGCGCUUAAUGAUGAUUGAUUUCUGUACCCAAUUUGAUCUUUAAAUAACACCUUUUAUAAAUAAUUAUAAUAAUAAAUAACGAUUGUGAACCCAAGUUAAACAUAUUUUAUAUAAAUAUAAGUGAUUAAGUUGUUUAGAUUCAAGAUAUUCAGUGUUGUUGGAAUUGGAUUAGAUCAGGUCAGUUAGGUUGAAAUCUAAAAUCGUGAAAAAGAUUGAUAGUUGCACUGGUUGGGUUUUGUAACAAUUUUGGAAUUUUUAUUAACUUCUAUGAUUUUUUAAUUAUGGUUAGACUUGUUGAAUUAAAAUUUAAGGAAUAUUCCCUUUUUAGAUAAUUUUUAAAAUUUUAAAUGAAACUUCUAUUUUAAGAAUAUUAAAAAGAUAUUAACAUGCCUUGACCCUUAUUCUAUAAUUAUAAUAAUUUUUUUAUUUUUUGAUAAUUUUUUUAAUUGAAUUGGUUUCACUUUAUUUGGGAGAUUAACCUAAUAAAAAGAAAAAAAAAUAUUAUUAGAACUAAAUUUUGACACAAUCAGAUGGGGAGAAUUUUUUUUUCUUCUAAAUUAUUUUGGGAAAAAUAAUGUAUUAAAAAUAUGAGUAACAUUAUGUAUGUUUUUGGCUAUGUAAACAUACAUAAAAUUAAAAAAAUAUUAAUAUUGUUUGGUGAUAUUUUAUUUAUUUACACUUAAAAAAAGUGAUAGUUAAUUUGUAAAAUACAAUCUUAGAUUAAACUAGUAUUUGGAUAAACUGAAUAUAUUUCUGAUGAUUCUUUUUUCUAAUUUAGAGUUACAAAUUAAAUUAUCAUUACAAAAUAAGCAAAUUAUCCCAAGAUAAUUUUUAAAGUAAAAUUUAAAUAAUAAUUUAAUAUAACAUAAAUACAAUACCUGUCCAAGAACCUAAUUGAUUAAUUGCCUAAAUUGAAUUAUUAAUUAAUGUGUUGAAAAUUAUAUAUCAAAUAAUGUUAAUUAAAUUUAGAGAAUAAAAAUGUUAAAUUUAAGGAAUAAUUAAUAUAUCAAAAUUCAAAUAAAUAAAAUAUUAGUAAUACAUCUAAUCUGAUUAUGGUACGCCCAAUGACUACAUAUUAUUAACUUUGCUUUAGUGAUCAUAUUAUUAUGUUCAGUAUUUAUUUUUAUGCGUUAAAUAAAUUAAAAAAUAAUAAUUUUUUGACCCUAUGUUUGGAUAACUUUGUUCAUUUAUUUAUUUAAGGGAAAGUUAAUGGGAGUUUAAUACUCGGUUGCUUUUCUUGAAAUCACUUAAUUUUUAUUUACUCCAAUUUGUAUAGAAAAUUAAUGAAAGGAAAGAUAUUUCCCUUCCUUUUUUUAAUUUUAACCAUCCAAAUAAAAUAAACCAUUAUAGACAAUCAUUUCUUUAAUUUUCCAUAGUUUAACCAAACAAAAGUUGUGGAAAGUACUUCCCUUUCUUUUAUUAGUUUUAACCAUCCGAAUGAAAUAUUGCUUAACCUUUCCUUUAUCUUCUUUUACAAUUAUUUACUCAAACAUAGUGUUAAAGUGGUAAGACUAUUCUUGAACUGAUCAUGGUUGUGGAUUGGAGCAAUAAUAAUACGAUCUAGCUUGGUGUGCGGUUGAUUGAUAACAAGGUGUUGUUAUGAGUAUGAGAGUCAAUGCAUGGAUACAUGUUAGAGAACAAUGAAUUGGAUUGACUCGACAAGAGAAUGCUUAUUGGAUUGACUCGACAAGAGAAUGCUUAUUGGAUUGUUAUGUGAAGGUCACAAUGAUUCUCAUAAUGCUAAUGGUGUAUGUGAUAUUUGGACUUGAGGUCACCAUGGUUCCCAACCUCAGAAGUCUAUUCGGUAAUUCAGAAAUAAAAGAUUGGACGUUACUAGUAUGAUUGUCUUGUGAUUUAUUUUCAAUCUAAAGAUCAUUGACGAAGGGAUAGAUUGCUUGAUAACGUUAUUGUGGAAAAGUUUUGUUGAAAUUCAUAUCCCUAUUUUUAGGCCUUCAAGAUUCGAUUAGUAAGGUUUCAAAAUCAUAUCGAUGGUCGAAUUGGUCAAACCAUCAGUUUACAAAUAGAUUGGUUUAAUCUGUUUAAAUAAAUAAAUUAUUAAAAGGUUUGUAAAAAUUUAAAAAUAAUAAAUUAUUUAAAAAAUAGAGAAUCAUUUUAGUUGGUCCAAUUGUCAAUUCAAUUAGGGUUUUAGCUCGGUUCGCGAUGUCUAACCCUUUUCUAGAUCGAUAUUCCAAUUGUUUUUUUGUUUUGAUCGAUUGGUAUGGUUUAAACAACAUUAUCUAUUAGCAUUGGUAGAAGGUUGAUGGUGACCUUUUGUCUUUAAAUGAUUCUCUUUGAUCAACAAUUAGGCAUAUGACAUAAAAGUUGGGAUGGAUGCAUCUUAAUUCGAUUUACGCUUAUCGAUCAAAAGUGAACCAUUCACUCUCUUCCACUUAGAUUUGGUAUCUCGCACUUGGAUUUGUUGGUUUGGGCUUGUCAAUUUGUUUUUUCACUAUGUCGAUGGUGUUUUAGCGGCCCAAUAGCAAUGUUAAAACCUUGAGUUCGAGUUUAUUUUGUGUUAACACAUGACACUAAUUGGAUUUUGAUGAGUUUUCGAUUAGAUUUAUUUUGGUUACUUUUGGUUUAAUAUUCGAUUUACUGAUUUUAUACUCCCAAAUUUAAUAUUUUAGUUAGUAACAAUGGUUAAGUGUUAAUGCCUUUUAUUGCUUACCCUAGUCAAGCCCUCCUCUAUACAAUGUAGGUUUUGCCAAAGGUUGGUGCCUAACCAUUUUAUCCUAAUAUAUUUAGGGACUUAAAGGCAAGUAAGUUGGUAGGUUCAUUAGAUGAUUUGAGUGGUUAUUCAUUAGCUUUUUUUGGGAAUUACAUAAGAUGUAAUAAUUUGUAAAAAUUGCUUACCUAAAUAUCUAUAAUAUUAAGUGAUUGGCUAAAACUAUUUUAAGAGGAGGUGAAGUAUAGAUUUUGAUCUAUUAAGAAUUCUUUAAUAAGAAUUUUCGAGAUUAAUAGUGACCAUUAUUAAUUAUGAAUAAAAUAGUGAGUAUCUUUUAAUAAAGUCUUGUUUUAAGUGAUCAUAUCAUGGUAUUUUACUUUGUGCAUUUUUGUGGUUAUAAAUUACCAUGGCAUCAAAAGCAUCUAACAAGAGGCAUCUUAAUGAUAUGGUAUACAUAAAAUGUCUAAUGCUUGCCACUAUGACUUUAAGCUUUAAAACCAACAUGAGGACAUGGUCGCAAAUGAUAUGAUCGAGCACCUAAAAUAGUUUUUCAGGGGCAAGCACGUCAAGAUUGGUAUGGGAAUUUUAAGGCCCUACUUCAAUGUAAAAUGGUAGAGGGAACUCAUGUUCUCAAGAUGAUAGACUACAUAAAAGUUCCUGCAAGAGUUGGCCACUAAUGUUGUCUUGCAAUUAUUCUCGGGCAGUUAUAGUCAGUUCAUUAUGAAUUACAACAUGAACGAGACAUAAAAAUCUUUGCUAGAGUUGUUUAGCAUGUUGAAAACAAUUGAGGCAAACUUGAAGAAGCUUGUACUCAAGGCUAUACUAAUGGUUUGAAGGGGUAAGGGCAAAAGUAAAAUACUGAAAAGAUAGUGCUAACGGCAAGUCUAAGUGCUUUAAAGUUGCAUUGGAACCAAAAGGUGAAAGAAGCUUGUACUCAAGGCUAUACUAAUGGUUUGAAAGGGUAAGGGCAAAAGUAAAAUACUGAAAAGAUAGUGCUAACGACAAGUCUAAGUGCUUUAAAGUUGCAUUGGAACCAAAAGGUGAUGUGGUUAAAGAAGGUAAGUGCUUUCUCUAUGAUCAAAUCAAAUGUAGGAAGAAGAGUUCUACUUAUAUUGAGAAACUUAUGAAGAUGAAAGGAAGUAAGGCUUUUGGUUCAGGUAUUUUUGUUGUUGAAGUUAAUUUGUUUUGUACUAGUUAUUUGGUAUUUAUUAUCGAACGUGGUUUUCACAUAUGUGCUUUUGUACAAAGACUACAAAGGAUAUAUAUGGAAUAAUAAGUUUAGAUGCUAGAUGUGGUUCUCAAUACUUUGUUACUUUUGUCGACGAUUUCAAUUGUUAUGAGUAUGUUUACCCUAUGUUCCAUAAAUCUAAAGCCCUUGAAAUGUUUAAGGACUUCAAGGAUGAAGUAAAAACUAACUAGGCAAAAGUAUCAAGACUCUCGAUUAGAUCGAACCAGAGAGUAGUUAAGCUAGGAGUUUGAUGACCUUUUCAAGGAAUGUGACAUGGUUUCACAAUGUACUACUUUUGGUACUCUACAAUGGAGUGAAGUGUUUGAAGGGAGGAAUUCAACUCUGUUAGAUAUGGUUUGAUCAAUGAUGAGUCAUACAAAUGUUUGUACUUUCUUUUAAGGAAAUACAUUAGACUAAGAUGCUUUUACACUAAAUCGUAUUUGAUCUAGAUGUGAUUUUGUGAAGCUUAUGUUAGAUAUCAGAUAUUUACUAAACUUAAACAAAAAUCUAAUAAAUACAUCUAUGUAAAAAUCCCAUCAAGGACAAAGUAUUAUUAGUUGGACAUGUAUCAUAAAAAUGGGUUCAUAUUUAGAGUGGAAAGUGGAAGAAAGAUUGAACUUAAAGAAGUUUAAGGUCUAUAAGACUUUAUUGAACCGAAGGUAGAACAAUAGCAAGCUCUACAAGUUGUGGAACAAAACUUAUGAAGAAACACAUGCAUUGUAUAGGUGUGUAAGAUAACAUCAUGAGUUUAAGAGAUAUGGAUUUCUUACUAUAAUGUAUGGUGAUGUUCUUCUUAUGGAUUAAGAUGACCUUGUGAAUUGUUUUGGCUACAGUAACUUGAAAUCCAUAUUCCUAUUUUUGGCCGUUCAAAGCUUCGGCUAGCACGAGUGUAAGGAGGUUGGUGGAUUUCGAUUUCAAAAAGACUUUGAUUGUUGAUCUAGUGGAUGCAUAGAAGAUGGUACGAAUGAAUUGUAGUUAAAGGUUUGUGAAAGCAUUUUUCGAUUAUGUGAAUGUGUCAUCUAGAUUCGAGCUACACUCAUCAAUUGAAGGUAAACCCUAUACACGCUCCCUUUCACUUGAUUCAGGUUUCUCACAAUUGGGGCCAUGAAAUUCGGCUUGUUGGUUUGUUCUUCCACUACUCCAAUGGUGCUUUGACAACACAACAAAUAACAACAAAAACUAGCAUGUAUAUUAAUGCAACAAUAAGUGGCUCAAAAUUUGGAAUUAUUUAGUAUCAAUUAGACACAACAAAUUUGAAAACAUGAUAGUGACUCAUGAACAUAAUAUAAAAAAAUAAUAAUAAUAACACAAUUAAGGGCGAGGCCUGGAACCUUUGGGGAGAAAUUAAGUUCAAUGUUUUUAUAAGAGCUAAAAUGUAACUUCACUAUUUCAUUAGCUUAUAGUUUUAUAAUUUUUGAAUGAUUAAAUUAAAAUUUUAGCAGUUUAAUGGGCCAAACAUGUAAUUUUUCAAUUUAAAGGGGUUGGAGGCCUUUGUUAGCCGCUUGUCGUCGCCCUUGAACACAAUGAUAACAUAUAAAUACUUAAAUAAAUAUUAAUUUUAUCAUAACCUAUAUAAUAAUGAGUAUGGUUCCCAUCCUAUGCUUCGUGUUAAGUUAAUUAUCUUUUGUUGUCAAAUUAUUAAGUAAAACUUUGAAGGUUAAAAUAUGUUCAAUGUCAAUGUCAAUUUACUUCUUCAUACUUUUAAACCCUUUUAUUAAAUCAAACGAGUAAAUCCAUAAAAUUUAAUUCAAGAUUUUCAUUAAUAAGAGUUCACUUUAUUUGUUUUAUUAUGUUUAAAUUUAGGAUUUACUAUCUAUAUUUAGUUUGACAUAAAUUGGUACAUAUGCUAGACUUGUCUAAGUGUCAGGAGUCGGGUCGGGCUUGAGUAAGAAUUUUUACAAUAAUGAAAAAUAUUUUUUAUUUAAAUUUAAUUAUAAAAAUAUAUAAAAUAUCAAUUAAAAUAUUUUUUUAUAUUUUAUUAAUUUUUGAAUAGUGAAAGAGGUUUUUUGCGCGGGUUGUGCCAAUCUGAAAAUGGGCUUGGACUUGAAACUUUUUAUGGAAUUGAGCCUCAAUCUGGCUUGGCCCAUGGACAGUUUUAAUCCACGUAGGCGAAUCAAAGGGGGAAGAUAGGGACUUUGGCCCUCCACAAAAUGGAAAAAAAUUGUUUUGUGAUCUCCUUAUAAAUGAUAAUAAAAUAAGUUAUUACAUGAUAAAAUUACACUUUUGGUCACUCAAUAAUUUAUAAUUCAAUUUUGCCCUCCUAAAAAAUUCGUGGCUUCACCUUUGUUAGUCCCUCUACUUUUAUAGAAUCGUUAGUUUGUCCAAAUUAUUGGCACCUUAAUUAUUUCAAUUAAAACGCUAAUGCAGAUUUUAUUCUAAAAAAUAUGCAUUCUAACUUAUAAUGUUGAGAUUGAUUUUUUUUUGUGUUAGAUGUUUUUAAGAAAAAAUUAUGUCUACAUUUUAAUCGAAAUAAUUGAGGACAAUAACUGUUUGAAUUAAAUAAUGUCAUUAUUAAAGUAGAAGAUCAAAUUAUGUCAAAUUAAAAUAUAAAAAUUAAAUCUCGAAUGUGAUCAUAAUAGAGGGAUUAAAAUUGAAAUUUUAUUGUUCGAUAUGAAUGAUAGGUUUGGAUAGGUGGUGGGGUGGGGUGGGGUGUGGUGCGUUUAGUUUAUUUUUUGUCUCAUGCUACCGUAUUUAAUCUCAUCGUACCACUAUUUUUACACUAACCGUAAGUUACAUACCUUCCAUCCAAAUCCACCCGAAGGCUCUAAAUCUUAAAGAAAAAAACAAAUAAAGGUAAAGUAAUGAUUUAUUUACUUAGGUGUUAAUUACAUUUUAGUUAGUUCUUAGUAAAUUCUAGUUUUACAAUUGUUUGGUAGACUUUUAAUAUUUGUAAUAUAAGAUAAAAAAAAUAGCAACGAAAUAAAUCUUAUAAUAUAAUUUAUUAUAAGAUCCUUAUAUUAUUAGAAAAUUAUAUUUUUAUACAAUUAUAUAUUAAAUGUAAAGUUAGGUAUCAUAUUAUAAAAAUUUCUUUUCAUACUUUCAAAUUAAUACAAAGUUCAUUAUUUUGGGUUAAAAAAAUUAUAACUAAACUCAAUAUAUAUUUUAAUUUUUAUUUAUUAUAUAAAUUUAUUUAGGUGAAGUUAAUAAAAAAAAUAUUACAUUUGAGGUAAAAUAAUUUAAUAUAAAAUUUAACUUUUUUUAUUAACAUAUAAAAUUUAUUAUAAAUCAACUCAUUUAACCAAAGCUUGUGAAUUGAAUUAGAAUUUUUAUUUAUAUUUUUAAUAAUCAUAUUAAUAAUAAAAUAAUAUGGAAUGAAAAAUUAAUAUAAUGAGCAAUAAAAUAUGAAAAAAAUGAUAAAAUUAGAAAUAUAAUGAAAAAUAUUAAUUAUUUUUGUCAAUUCAAAAGAUUUUUCAAACUUGUAUUUAUAUAUAUCAAUUUUUUCAAUUCAUUAAAUAAUGUAUUUUUAUUUCAUAUUAUUAAUGUAAAGUAAUAUAAUUUAAAUUGUUGAACAUAAUCAAAAUAUUUUAAAUAAUAAUAAAAAAUUCAAACCAUAAAUGAAAUUUGAAUGAAAAUAAUUAUGAAAUUAGACUUUUUCUUUUUGUGAUAUUUUAGCUUUUAAUUGAAUGAAAAUACUUACAUCUUGAACGAUAAUACACGAAUAUAAUAAAUAAUAAAAGAUAUUUUUAUUAGUUAAAAAAAUAUUUGAUUUUAUUUUUAUAGAUUGUAGAUUAAUAUCAAUAUAUGAUUUUGUGUUAUAUUGUUAUAUAUUGGAUUUACAUAAUGCAAAUUCAUAUUGUUAUGUAGGAAAUCAAAACUUAAAACUUUCAGAUCAGCUCCUAUCAUGCGUGAUGCUGCCAUGGCUUCAGGUUUCACUUAAGAAAUUUGUGGGAUUUCGCCCUUAAGAUAUUAGCGCCCCCAUCGGCGGAUAAACCCGAGAUCGCACCAUCCCUCAAAUGUCAAUCUCCCGACUCCGAGCCAUUUGAAUAUGUCGCAGCUUCUUGAAUAUGUCGGUUUUAUUAAGCUAAUGAAUCCGACAGGAAAAUGAGUUUAAUAUUUAUAGUUUAGGAUUUUGAUGGAACUUGAGUUGUUUAAGUGAGAAGCAAAUAUCGGUGUUAUCUGAAAGAUAAAUUACCAAAGCUGAAUGACUAGACAUGAGGAUGGGUGUAAGAAAGAGCAUAAUUGUAGAUCUAUCCAAGAGUAGACCGUGAAUUAAAAUUUUGAAAAUAUUUGAGUCACGGUUCGAUCUCAUUCGGGAAUAAUGUUUUGUUAAUUAUGAAUGAAGGAUGAGUUUUUUUUCUUUCAAUUGUGUUUCCCCUUCUUUUUUAUAGUUUAUAUAGCUCCGCUUGUACUUAUUCAAAGGUCAAGUUAUCAUCUAGGCUCAAAAGAUUUACUCAAAAUAUGAGAAGGUUUUGGCAAAAAUGUUAAGCUCUACAAAUGAGCUUGAUUAAGAUUAUUGCGCUUGUAUCUUAUUUAGCUCAGUGUUAAUCUCACACCUGGCUUGACUCAAAUAUAAAUUUAGUAAUUUUAAAUAUAUUUAUAUAAAAAAAUUGUCAAUACACCAUCGAUGAGUAAUUAUGACACUUUAUCAUUCAGUGAAACAAAAUAAAAAAAUCAAUAAUCAUAUCUUAAAACUUAAUUUAAACUUGUUAGUUCAAAAGCCCAAACUAUACUGAAAUGAUAAAUUGUUUAAUUAUUAACAAUAUUUUUAAAGUCGAACUGAUGGUCAAACUGGUUAGGUUAUUGGUUCGUCGUUUGAUCCAAACAGUUCGAUUAAAUAAAUUAUUAGAAACCCCAUAAAAAUAUAGAAAAAAAUUGAAUCGUUGCUUUUUAGUUUUGUUCAAUUGAUUUUGAACCUAAAAUUUUUCUCCAAAUUAAUACCUCGAUCGAUUUUCAAUCUAAUUGACCAAUCAAAUCCAUAAAUAGGUCAUUUUGACUCAAUUCACUCGAAUUUUUUUAAAAUUUUUAUUGAUAUUUAUUUCGAUUGAAUUUUUAAUUUUUUUAACUUAUUUUUAUAAUAUAAACUUUUAUUUUAAAGCUUUUGAACAUUAAUCGAUAAAAUUUUAAAAUCACUUUCAUAAAUAUUUAUAAAAAAAUUAUAUGAUAUUUUUUAGAAAAAAAAUAUUUUUAUAUAAAGCUCUUAAAUAAUUCUUACUAUAAAAAUAACAUAUUUAGCUUUACAUAAUCAAAAUUUUAAAUUAAAUUAAAAACAUUCUUUCAAUUUCUCAACAAUUCUAAUCAUAUUUUGAGUAAAAGAAAUACUUCAAGUAAAACCAACAGUUCAAGACUCCAUUUGUUUCAACAUAAAAGCUUUUAUGAAAAGUAUUUUCAGCUUUUUUUGAUGUUUGCUUUAUGUAAAAUAGGAUGAUCAACGUAAAAGGUUUUCAAUAAAAUGUCUUACCAAAUUUUUUCCGUAAAAUAAUUUUCAAACUAAUAAGACUAUGUUCAUUGUAAUACUCCCAUACUAGAGGUGAUCAUGGGCCGGGCCGGGCUCAAAAAAAUUUUGGCCCGCGUUCUAGGCCCGGCCUGAAAUAUGGGCAUGAAAUUUUGUCCAAGCCCGACUCAGGAAAAAAUUCCUAAGCCCGAGCUUGGCCCGGCCUUUUUUUUAAUAAACACCAAAAAUGUAUUUUUAAAAUAACAAAAAUAAAAAAAAGUAUUUUAAAAAUAUUUAAAAAAUAAAAAAUAAAUAUUUAUUAUAUUCGGGCCGGGCCAGACCCGGGCAAAAAAAGUGGUGCCCGAGGCCCGGCCCGUUUUUUAAACGGGUCUCAUUUUUUUGCCCAAACCCAUAUUUCAAGUCUAUAUUUUUACCCGAACCUUCUCAUAUUUCGAGUGAAUCUUUGGGUCGGGCCGGGCCGGGCCGGGCCGCCCAACCCAUGAUCACCUCUAGUUCUGAUUGAUCUAUGUUGUGGUGUGCUAGCCCCUGGGAUAACUCUGGUCAUUGCAAAGGUUGGCCUGAAGCAUGUCUUCGUAGUAUAAUCUAUGGUUGGUGAUGCACCACUAUUACCAUGUCAGUUUAUAAUUGUUCUUUUAAUAAAAGGUUUAAUUUUCUUUGUUUUUGAAACUUAAUGGCUUCAGGUUGAUUUAACGGUGGAACUCAUGGAGGACCUUUUGGGUAUAAUCCAGGUAUUAUUACAAAAAUAUGAAAGAAAAAGUGAGUAACUGAAAAAUGGAAUUCAAAGAUAAGUAAUAAGGCAUGUAGGUGUUCGAAUGAGAAUAAAAUUUAAGCCAAAGAGCUUUAUAUGUACGAUAUUUACAGUUUACAAUUGUACGGAAUUGCUUGUUAUGCUGUUAAUUGCUGGUCUCCUUGCACUUUCCAUGGUUGAGAAUUAAAUAAAAAAACAAAUCCAUGAACUUCUGUGCUUUUUAGAUUUUGAAGAUAUCCAAUCCAGAUUUCCAAGUAGAAUGCAUUUCAUUCCCUUUUUUUAAUGGCAAGGUUCCUGUUCCAAAAUUUUUAUCUCAAGUUCAGAAUGCAUUAUAGCCCAUCUGGCUUAAAUGCUUAACAGUUAUGGCAUCAUUGCAACAUCAGGGAUGCGAUAGGUGAAGUUUACAUGUCCCUUUGGCCAAACUGCAAAUCCAUCAUACUGCAAAAUAAGCAAACCUGUAGCUAAGGCAUGCAUCAUUCCUGGUAUUCCAAGAGAAUCAACCCAUGAAUAUAAGAUCCCUAGAAAUCUUACUUAUUUGGAAUGUCUGCGCAUGAGAGACAGUCAUUUUAUCAGAUAGUGGCAUGCCCAUCUGUUUUGAUCAAUUGGUCUACAAUCGAUGAUUAACGUAGUGUUAUCUGGAAUUAUUUGUUAUUUGCUCCUUGUUUGUUGUCCUGUUCUUGUAACCGAAGUGGUGGUUCAUUAGUUUUAGUUAUUACUGGUCCUAUUGAUAAAGGAGAGUGUUAAGUAGUUUGGAAGCAGCUUUAUGUUUCCUUUUCUGCAUGCACUAUGCAGUGAAAUUUGUUGCUUGCGACAUUCAUUUUGUUUAUUUCUCUUAUGUAAUGUAGUUGUAUUAUUUCUUUUAAAAUCUUCUGCAGGGGAGCCUGCCACUCAACAGCUCAUGCUCGUGCUCGUGCUGCACUUAAGUACAUAGUGCUGGGUCUGUCUAGUCACAUGGAUGAUAUACUUGGGAAGUAUAAGGUGCUAGAUUAUCCUUUUCUUACUCUGUAUUUGUGUGUGUUUAUUUAUUUGUGGAAACUGUCCAAUUUCUGUGGGAAAGGAACAGACUCAUCACCAUUGGCAUAAUACCUCUUUAAGAGAAAAUAUUUGAUUUCUUCUGGUUUACCAUCUAAUACAAUGUUCUCUUGUGGAACUGCUUGUCUUUUCAGGAAGUGAAGCACAAUAUAUUUGAUUUUAUCUUUGUAAAUCAUGUUAGUUGUGUUGUUAUUCGAUUAAUUUGGGUAAUUCGGUUAAUUUUUUACUAAAAAUAAAAAACAUAUAAUUUUCGGUUAAUUCGGUUAACCGACCGAAUUAACCGAAAAAAUUUCGGUUCGAUUAAUGGUUAAAAAUUUUGAAAGGUCGGUUAAUUCGAUUAAUGUUAUUUCGGGUCAGUUAACCGACUGAACACCCCUACUUAGAGGGAAUAUAUCUAAAUAUUUAGGUGUUUACUCGAACCUAAAAAUCAUUGACUUGAUAAUGAAGUUCAAGGUGUAGUGUCUUCUUAUUGGGGGUUGUGCAAAAGUUGACAUCGUUGCUUUAUCUUGGUUUGAAUGGGAAUAAACUUUCUGGCAGUGUACCCUUGGAACUAAGAUUUAUGUCCAAACUUUUGUAUCUAGACUUGUCUGCAAACCAAUUGAGCAAGUCCAUCCUUGAAACUUUCAGGUUAAAAUAAUCGGCUAAAUAUCUCUAUUAAUACUUGUAUUUUAUGAAAGUUGCGGAUUCAGUCCCAAUACUUUAAAUUGGGUUGGGUUUAUAAAUUAUACUAGAUUAGGUUUAUAUUAGGUUGGACUUAGGAGUGCUGGGGUGAGCCGCUGGUUGGGGAUUAGGUGGGCAGUAGGCUAAGCCUAAUACAUAUAAUACAUGAUAUUAGUUAUUAAGUUCGAUUAAUUUCGUUAAUUACUCGCUUUCGAGCCAAAUUAACCGAUAAUUGAGCUUUCAAAAAAGUAUUAACCAAUCUUUGAUCGAAUUAGAUUAGUUAAUUGACCGAUUAAUUUUAACCAAAAUUUAAACACCCCUAAAUCUGUUACUCUAAUAUGAUGAUCUUUAAAUUAUUUUUUUAUAAAUGUAUUUUUUUUAAUAUAAUAUAUAUUUAAAAUGGUAUAAAAAAAGUACAAAUCUACUAGUUAGUAGGAAUCCAACAAAUUCUUGUUUUUAAGAAAUAAUCGUGGAUGUUAUAUUUUGUAUAUAUGUUAUCACUCAAUCUAUAUAUAUAUAUAUUUAAAUUCAAAUCCAAAAUUUAAAACUAAGUUCCCAAACACUAUAUAAAUUGGAUAGUAAAAUACUUCCAAAUAUAACCUUCAUUAUUAUUUCUAAACCCAUCGAUUUGUUAAAUGCUUAUUUAGUAAAAAAUUCAAAUUUCUUAAAUUAUUUAGGGCUAAUAAGCAAAAUUGUGUGAAAUUUGAAACUCACCACUAUACUUUACUCUCAUCAAUAUUUUAAAAUUUUAAAAUCUUUUAUAAGACUAAAAUAAUAAUUUUUUAUUUUAGGGAUCAGACCCACUGCCAACCCCCUGAACUCGCCUUUGACCACAAAUGUUUAAUUUAAUUUUCAAAUACAUUUAUUUAAUUUUAAAAAAUAAAAAUUCAAACCACUUAAUGGGUGUUAUUUGAAGGGCAAGAGAGAUGACCUUAUGAAAACUGAAUAAAGUGCAAAAUCACAAUACUAUAUAGUUUUAACUUUGUCAAUAUUUCGGUAUCCAAAAUGAAAGCACCCAAUUACAUCAACAACUUCAAAGUUUUAACCAAACUAAUUGAUGGCGUCUUCAAAGUCUCUCUUCACUAUCAACAUGGGUCUUGACUCAACUCCACGCACCAACCCGUUCCAGCUACGGCCUAAAAGGGAGGGGGAAAAAAAUCUGAGAAUAAGAAUAUAAUUUUAUAUCAUUGCAACGAAAAUUGGAAAAAGUUAAAGGGCUUGAUUGAUUGAUUGAUUGUAAUUCAAAUGUUCAAGGGCUCAAUUGAGUGAAAACAAAAAAGUUCAGGGAGCUGAAUUGAUUUUUUAAAAAAGUUUAGGGGUUUUUCUUUACCCUUUAGCCCAAAUUAAAGUAUAUUUGAUUGAUAUAUAAUAUAAUCAUUCUGAUCCAUAAAAUUAAUAAUUAAAAAUAUGUACACACACAUAUCCAUCAGCAGACCACAUCAACAGGCUCCAAAUGAGCCCUAAAAAUCAACAUUGUUAAUAAUAAUAAAAGCUUCCAUGACCUUUUACAGCAAUGAAAAGUGAGUAAGAUUAUUAUUAUUAUAACUCACAACUACCAACAAAACAAACACAUCGGAGAAACGAUCUCCAUAAUCUAUUAAUGGUUUUUCAGAUAUACAUCUGCAGUCUGCUGCAUUCAUCUUCAUAUGUAAUUCAUUCCAUUUUCAUUUUUGACUCCUUACGUGUUGGAGCUUCAUCAGUCAAGCACGCAAGAACAAAAUCAAAGAAACAAGGAAAAAACAAUACAGAUAUAACUAUCACUCCCAAACCUUCUUACUUUCCAAGAAAACAUACGAUACAAAACCAGAAAUAGGAUGGCAAAAUAUUUAACAAGAAUUUCCAAAUAAACAUUUUUGUCCCCCUACUAAUUACUUUUUCUCUACUUCAAAUUCUCUAGCUGUAGGACAAAGUAAUUCUCAUUUAUUAGAGUUAUAUUCUUAAGUAAUAUUUUGUCCACUCUCUUACUGAUUUCAACAAGCUAAUAGCUCACUUAGUAAUAACAUUUACUAUCUCAAAUCAAAUUCAGCCUAUUGAAUAAAUCUAUCCUCACUUAGUAAUAGUUAUAUUUUCUGCACUUUCAUUUUGCUUCUUAUCAUAUGUAUGUUGCAAAAAUUUCUGUUCAGUAAGAUGAGGAAACCUUGUAAACCAGUAAAACAAGAUGUUGCAAGAAGACAGAAAGGAAGACUAAAAGGAACAAGUGUGGUGAUGAAGGUUGUACGUUCCCGAGGCCAGUUAAAUCAUGAUGAUCGUACCAAUCGUACAGAAUUUCUUGAGAGCCAAAACUUCAUCUCUAGGACAACUGUAUAGCCUUUUCGAGUGAAGUUAAAAGGGCUGGGGAUUUAUCACGAAAGCACUAAUAUGAAAGUAACACCAAUCAUGAGUAGUGGGAGGGACGGAGGUUAUCAAAAGUAAUUGGGGGGGAUGGAAGUCAAGUAGAAGUUACAACCUAAGUAAUAGUUUGGUCAUAGGUAGGCCUGCUCACAAGUCGAGCCUAGACAGGAUACUAACACCUUUCACGUUUGGCUAGGCCCCUGACCCAGCACAAAAUAUGGGCAAUAUCAUUCGACUAGACCCAACCCUAAUUACCAAAAGGGAGCCAUGCUUGCCCCAACACAACCCACCCAAUUUCUUUUUCUAAUUUUAUUUAACUGGCAGUCAAGCUUUACUUUGUUUACUUAUUGUUAAAGGUUAUCAUAGUCCUUACAAUAUUGGCAUUUCUACAUGUGGUAUCCAUCACCGACAAAAGUACAUCAUUUUACUAAAUCUUCACUUGCCUAUAGGUAAUGACCUCGCUCUGAUAUUUUAGGCAGAAACAUUGUCAUAGUCUACCAACUUCCUAAGUAGGAAUUUAAGCCUUUGUUUAGAUCAGGAUAUUUUAUUUUCUUGUUGGAACAAAAAACUAGAAGCAACUAUUGGGGGUAAGGCAAGACAGAACUUGAGUUUUAGUCCUCUAAAGGUGCUAGGAGCCUCGUACCCAUUUAAAACAACAAAUAGAGCAGACAUUUUCACAUAAUGCAAAUCCGACGCCUGAUUCGUCUACUCCAUACCUUAGCAUUACUCAAGUUUUAUACAGGAAGUUCCAGGCUCACUAUCAACUUCUUAGCGACAACAAGAGCAAACAAAAUGCAAUGACAAGCAGUAUUGGCAAAUGCAAAAUCCGUCAAUUUACAAGGAUGGGAAUAAUUAAGAUGUGGUAGUGAUGUGAAGGGGGCACUAACCUUCAUUUAGAGCAAACCAAAUGACAUGGCAAGCAGCAUUGGCAAAUGAAUAAUUAUGAUUAAGUAGUGAUAUGAAGGGGGCUCUAACCUUCAUUCAGAAAAACCAUAUACUAGAAAUAUCUUUGGGAUAUGGAACAGUGAUGGCAGAUUGAUGCUCUGCAUGAAGGGGGCUCUAACCUUCAUUCAGAAAAACCAUAUACUAGAAAUAUCUUCGGGAUAUGGAACACUGAUAGCAGAUUGAUGCUCUGCAGCUGCAUGAAUCCCUCCGUGCUCGUUGCACCAAAUAUUAAAUCUUAUGUACUCAAAAAUAUCGAGAUGGUUGACCCAACCCAAAAUAAGCUUGCCAUUGCCCAAAGAUACAGAGUGCUUUCCGGUGGUGGAGCCACUCGAAAUUCUGAUGACCAUUUGACGGGCAAAUGUUUCUUAUCAAGCAAAUUAUACGCCUCCAAAGAACAUUUAUAAAUGAAAGUAUACAGCAAAUCGUCCACGAUUGCCGCUGAGCCUUACCAGUAAGAAAAUUUUUGUUCGAGGCAAACCCAUGAUUUACGAUCGUAGUAAUAAGCGUAAAGAGUAUCACUGGCAUCGCAGUGCACCAAAAUUCGAGAUCGGGAAGAAUCUAGAACAGGAACACAUACCACACGUAUAUCGAUAGCUUCCGGAGGGGGCGACAAUGGUUCCCAAAUAUCCCCACUUAUAUCGUAAACCUCGCCAAAAGAUUCAGAACCCAUACAUUCGAAGACGUAAAUCAUUCCUUCAGCAGCAAGAACAUGGGGAUAAGCCCGAGGGAACAACAUAGAAGUAGUUUUUCUCCACCCACGUUCAAGGUCCUUCAAAUCUAAUUGGAAAACAUCGUUUACUCCAUCAUAACCACGAAAAUUAGCAUCAUUUUCGCGCAUUCCCCCAAUAACGUAAACGUGGUUGCCACAGGAAACGGCAGUGGAACAUGAAGGAGCAGCAGGUGGCAUCGCCUUAAUAAAGACUUUAUUGCUUUCCAGAUCAAUAAAGUGCAAACCGAGCGUUAUUUUACCAUCGGUACCCGGCCGUUUCUCGACGAUGGCCCUGAUCAGUUCAUCUGGCUCUCGCCCAUCAAAGUAACUGGAGGAAUCACUAGUAUCGCCGCUCAUGGUUCACCCUCAGCUUCGCCUUUCCAGAUCCAAAAUCGCUUUUAGUUUUAGGGCUUCUAGCUUGGGUUUUUUUUGUUUUUAGGUUUUUUUUUUUAAUUUGGUUUGGGUUUAGUAGUCAUUGACAAAAAAAAGGUUUAUAGUUAAAUAAAUUUGUUAACAAGUUAGUAAACGGUUGAUAAUUUUUUUUAAUAGUAAUUUGCUUGUUUUAGUUGUUAAUUUCCAAAGUAAAGAUAUUGUCAAUAUGUGACUGUUUGUAUUUUAAAAUUAUUUAUUAAUUAUGAUUAUUUUUAAUGAAUAUAAAAUAAUAUUAUUUUGUAUCAAAUGUUAGAGAUUUGUUAAAAUUUGAUCAAUCAAUUGAAUCAGGAGUUGAUAGGUAUUCUAAUUUGAAUGAGACAAAAAAUCGGUUAGAGGUUGACAUGAGCAAAUUGAAUUAAAAAAAUCGGAUUAAAUUGACUUAAUAUGAUGGUUUAGAGUAUUAAAAAAGAUGUGGAAAUGUGAAGCUUAAAGUUUUGGAUUUUUUGUUUAUUCAAUAAAUAAAAAUGUUGAUUUUUUAAGCUGAUAGCUUUGUGUAUAUUUAUAUAUAUAUUGCUUUGCACGUGCUUUCUGCGAUAAUUAUAUUUGUAGGUGUUUGGCUAGCUCCCAAAAUCCAACAUUAUUUUUUAUACGAGUUUCCUUUUGUGACUUUCACUGCACUUUGUCUCUAUUCACAUGGUUUCCCUCAAUUGGUUAGAUGCGUUGAAGUUGGAUUCCCGGCUUUGAUAGCAGUGAUAUUCCUUUCUCAAAAUAUUGACAACGGCUAGUGCUUAUGAUAAUAGUGUUUAAAAAACUGAGUUCACCUGUCGUACCGAUCGUUCUGGCCUCAUUAGUGUUGCAUCUUGUCCUUCAGGAAAGCUAGUUCAAAUUGAGCACCCUUGUCGGUGAUCGAAUCGGGUCAAACAUCUCUUAGAAUCAAAGUUACUAAUGGGGUAGUAAUUGCUACUGAGAAUAAAUUGCCUUCGAUCUUGGUUUAGCUGUUAAUAAAAUACAAUGUCUGACACCAAGUGUUGAAGUUGUUUACAGUGUUGGGCAGGUUAUAGUAUUUUGGAUCAAGUGUAACAUAAAGUCUUUCUAAACUUGAACAGAACUUCAGGAAGCAAAGUAAGGCAUUGAUUGGUUCUCUGUCCAUUAAACAAUCAAUCCACCAAAGCUAUUUUAAUUCGCUCAAGUAACAUUUAGGUCGCCUACUUGAGAAGGCCACAAUGAUUUCUUUUACAGAGACCAUAACGAUUACGAGAAGGGAAAGGGAGUCUCAGUCUCAAAGUCCCAUGUCUAAUGCGUUAGAGGACCUUGUCUAAUAUCAACCGUGACAUCUUCCAAAAAGAACUAACAAUUGCCCCAAAAAGCAUCUUUUGCCUCUAAAUUGAAAAAACACUAAGUUCGGACAUCGGAUUGAAUAGAGAGCAGCAAAAUGAUUCGGUAAAGGAUGUCAUCAAGUAAAUGACUAAUGAAAUCAUUUGGGUCCAUACUAUUAUUACUUUUCAGGAUAUUGACAUGUUUGUAUGAUUUCUCUUGAUUAUUAUGCAUGCACUUGCACCUCUUGAUAUAAGAUAAGUUAUAAAUAGCCUUUGAAGUUGGAUUUUGCGAGUAUAACUAUGGGUUUCGAACUACUGUCGAAUCUGCACUUGUUGAGAUAGUCAUAUUUAUGUUGGUAUCACUUCAGGCAUAUAUAUUUUCCUCCCGCGAGUUUGAUUAUCUAUCACGAUACCUUGGAUUGGAACAAAAUGAUGUUAUUGUACGUGAGCAACAGGAAAAGCUACUUGGAAAACUGCAUAAUAAGGAGCAUCCUUGGAUUUUUUGCGCCACACCUCUUCAGUGAUGGCGUUUUCCAAGUACAAUUUAUUGAAAAUCAGACAUUUAGUAAACUUGUAAAUUUCUUAAAUAUUGCACCAGAAUAUUUCGAUAUGAAUAAGCAUUCAUCUGUUGACGAUGAGGUUUUUUAUGAGAUAGAAUGCCAAAAAACACGAAAUAUCCAUUCGAAUUAUUCAUCUUUUCUUGUAAUAUCCCGAAAAUUACUAAAGUAAGAACGUAAGAUAAUAUUCCUGAUAUAGUGUGAUAAAAAGGGUAAUUUUGACUUAUGUCAACAUUGGGAAGUAUAUUAUGACAUAUUAGUUCAAGAAAGGAUUAAAUCGUAAAAAGUGAGAAAAGUUUUGUUGCCCAAGAGUAAAUACUCAAAAUUUGAGGGUUAAAGUGUAAAUAUGAAAAAUUUGAAGGACCAAUAGUGUAAAUAUUUUAAUGGUGGAAUAAUCUAGAAACUAAGGAAAAUGGAUAAAUUAGGACCAAAUUGAAAAGAUAAAGAAUUUUGAGGGAUUAAAUUGUAAUUUUACCAAAUUAAGUGAUGACUCAAUGAUGGAAUUUCAAAAGAUUAUAAAGGGUAAAAUAGUCAAUUAGAAAGAGAGAGAAUUCUGAAGGUAACGAUGAUGUUUGUGAUAUUUUUAAUUAAUUAAUUAGAUAAAUGUUAUUUAAUUAAUAUUUUAUUAAGAUUUUUAGUAUUACUUUAUUAUUAAAUGAUUAAUAUAAAAGGGAGGAAAGGUGAUGAGAAAUCAUCAUCUUUUUCAUGCAUCUCACGUUGAAGAUAAGAGAGGAAAGAAAGUUUUACUUUCUUUACAAUUUGGUCCUUUUACCAAAAAUUCACCAUUUUCACUUAAAAAUCAAAAGAAUUUCCAUAUCCAUCAAGAGAGAAAGAUAACAAGGAGACUAUGGGGAGCUAGAAUAUCAAGUUAGAUUCAAGAAAUAGAAGCUGGAGGAGAGAGAAAAUCAAGUUAAAGAUUGAAAUCAAUAGCACAAGGUAAGAACAUCAAGAUUUUUAUAUACUUUUGAGUUUGAUAUUAUUGAAAAAGUAGGAAAUUAAUGUUAAGGUAGAGUUUCAUUAUAUAAGGUUCUAUAUUAUUUUUAUGUUAGUAAAGGGAAAUAAGAGAAAGUGAUGGAAAAUAUUGAAGAGAAAGGAAAGGAAAGUGUUAUAAAUUUAGUUAUCAACAUUUUACACUAAAAUAGUUUUGAGACAGCAGCAGUAGUCUGACUUUGAAAAUCUACCAAAAAUCGUAUAAAUGGAAUUAGAGGAUGAACAAAAUGUGAAAUUAAAGCUUAUUGAGUCUAGUUUUUCAUAGAAGAGAUGGUGUAAGCAGUGGAAUUGUAAAUUAUUAUAUAUAAUAGGUUUUGUGAGAUAAGGUCAGAAUGAUUUUGGGUUCCCCUGUACUGACUUUGGAAAAUCAUCAAAAAUUGGAUAAAAAUAAUUAGAGGCUUAAAUUUAUAUUUUUAAAUCCUAAAUGAGUCUAUUUUCAAUAGAAACAAACGGUAACAUCAUUAAAAUUUUGUACGAGGAGAUAAUUAAUUUUUAGUGAAGAAGGGUUGGAACUGUCAGACAGCAGAAUAGGGAUGAUUUUAAAGAAUAAACUAUACUUAGUGGCUAAACCAAAAAUUCUGAAAAUUUUAUGAUAAUAUAUGUGAGUCUAGUUUUAGAUAAAAUUAACGGAUCUCAAUUUGGAGUUCUGUAGCUCAAGAUAUAAAUAAUUUAGUGACUAUGACUCAAGUGGACAGCUUUGAAUGAAUAUAAAUAAAUGUGAAAUUAUAGAUAAUGUUACAUAUAAGCAUGUUAUAUAUAUUAAGGAUGUGGAAUGGAGAGGAGGAGGAGGAAAAUAUAUGAUUAUUCAACUAGCAUGAGUUUUUAUUAAAAAUGACCAAUUUACAUGUUUUAGGUUUAGGGACUAAAUUGAACAAAUGUGAAAGGGUAAAUUUGUAAAAAUGUCAAAAAGUGAUCAAAUUGCAUGAAAUAAAUUGUUUUAUUAUUUAAAUUAGUAAAUUGAAUGAAAUAUUAAUUUAGAUCAAGAUUGGGUGGAAAUUCGAGAAAAUAGAAAAUUACCAAAAUGUCCCUAAAUUUUGGUAUUUCUGCAAUUUAGCCUGGUAAGUUCGUGUGAACUAUAUUCUGUAUAAUUUUAAUUAAAAUGAAUGCUAUUUGGUGAUGAAUAUUAUAUAGAUAUGUGUUUUAUUAUUGGAAUUGAAUUAUUAUUGGUAAUAUGUACAAUUAUUAGAUGCAGUGAAAUGAUUAUCGGAAGCUCGAUUGUGGUUGGCAGGAAAUGUUGCAUUAUUUAUAUUGUGAAGAAUUAUAAAAGCAUGUUAAUAAUUUGAAAGUAUUAAUAAUUAAUGGAAUUUUAUAACGUGGUUCAAUAGGUUUACAAGUGUAUGUGUUCUGGUAAUGCCUCGUAUCCUAUUCCGGUGUCGAAAAUGGGUAAGGGGUGUUACAUUUCUGCAAUCCCAAAAAAGUUUUGAUACUAUGAGUUUGCAGCUGGUGUGGAUCUUUCGGAAUAUAUGGUCCCAAAUAUGAUCUGAUAUCGAUGUUAUGUGCUACAAUUUGGUUCUCAUCGCCUUCCUAAGGGACUUUAGUUUACUAUUUAUGGAGUAUCUUGCUGCUCUAUUCUUGCAUGCUCUAUGUGUGAGUAUAGAUCCGACUUAUAUCUUUUGGGCUGUCAAACUGAUUUACGAUCGCGAUUUUUGGCUUUCUUAUGGCUCGCUUGAUUUAAUAUCACGACCUUUGGCUUUCUGACAACUUAUGGACCUACGCUUCCAGCUGAUUAUUAAGGUUAGCAGAGUUAAGCUUGUAACCUCCGAUCUUUUGAGUUAACAGAGUUAAUCUCGUAACCUCCGAUCUAAUUUACAAACAAAUUCUAUCUUACCAGAAAUACAGAUGCAAUAUUCUGUAAUAUAAUUAUUGACUCUUGUAUCACACUAUCAAACAACAAAACUCACUCGAUAAAGCUUCAAAUUAAAACUUGUAUGAUUAACACAAAUUUGCCGCAAGGCAUUUGCCAUGGUGGAUCACUUGAAUACUUCACAGCAGAUGACAACCAGCUUAGCGGGCCAAUCCCUCAAGGGUUGAAAAUUUGCACUAGCUUGAAGAGAGCCUGCCUUGAAAAAAACUGACUUAGAGGUAGGGGUGUGCAUUUUUAGGGUAAAAUCGAAAAAAAUCGAUAAACCGACCGAAUUCGAUUAAUCGGUCAGUUAAUCGAAUUUUUCGGUCAGAGGUCGGUUAAUUAUUUGUUGAAUUUUCGGUUAACGGUUAAAUCAGUUCGAAAUGGGUCGGUUAACUGAAUUUUUACGAUUUAACCGAAAAAAUUAAUAAACAAAUUUAUAAUAUAUAAACGACAUCAUUUAUUUGGCCCCAAAUUUCCUUAGUUUUCCCCAAGUCAUAAUCAGAUUUCCCUAAUUUCCCAACUUCUUUCCGCCGUUUUCUUCACAUCUGAUUCUAGCUCCUCCAAGUCCUCUUCGGAGUCAGGCUCUGAUUCAGCUCACCAACUGUCGAUGCAGGUCUCAAAGGCGAUGGUUUGAAAUUGCUUGUUUUGUUUUUCUUCUGGAAGGACGUUAGGGUUUUGAAAUUUGAGAACUCGAAUCGAGCUUAGACGGAAGUCUUGUUAGUUUUAGAGGUAUUCUUUUUCCCUUUCUGUAAAUCCUCUUGAAUCAUCGAGAUAUCUUCAAUCGUGGUUAAAAAGUAGCAUCAAUAUGAUUGAGCCUUUUUGCUUUGUUAUGGUAGAUGUUACAUAAUGUAUGUAAAUACAUAUUUGGGUGACUUUAUGAUUGUAAUUGCAAAUCUAAAAGACCAAAAUAAUUUAUGUGAAUCAAUAUUGAGUGAUGGUUUAAGAUGUGUGGAUUUUAUUUUUGUACUUAAAGAAACAAAUCUGUUUGAUCUCAACUUCUUCUACAAGCUAAGGCUGCAUGUGUUCUGAUUAGAGGUGAUCAUGGGCAGGCCGGGCCCAAAUUUUUUUGGCCCGCGUCAUAGGCCCGGGCCUGACCCGACCCGAAAUAUGGGCCUAAAAUUUUUUCCAGGCCCGACUCGGAAAAAAUUCCUAAGCCCAUCCCUGCCCGACCCAUUUUUUAAUAAACACCAAAAAUUUAUUUUAAAAAUAAUAAAAAAGUAUUUCAAAAAUAUUUUAAAAUUAAAAAUAAAAUAUAUUUAUCUAUUAUAUAUUCGGGCCAGGCCGAGCUCGGGGCCAAAAAAGUGGUGCCCGAGGCCCAGCCUGUUUACUAAACGGGCCUCAUUUUUUUGCCCAAACCCAUAUUUCGGGCCUAUAUUUUUACCCGAACCCUCUCAUAUUUUGAGCGGGUCAUCAAACCAAGCCGGGCCGCCCAACCCAUGAUCACCUCUAUCCCAUACCCAACACGAGCAUCAGGUCAAACCACCGGGAUAUUACAUUUUCUAUUACAUUCUUCACUUAUUAAAUAUGUUCUCAUAAACUUUCACAACUUUUCAAUUUAGUCUAUUCUUAUUGUAAAAGUUCAAUAUUCACUAAUUAAUUACAUUAAAUCAAAUUUCUUUCUUGUUACACUUGAAUCGCAUAAUUUAUCUCAAUAUCUUGUUUCACAUAUCAAAUUUUUAUAUACUUCACUUUUAUUAUUUCAUCCACAUAUUUUCUCAAGUUUAAUAAUUUAAUCCUUGUCACCAUAAAAAUUUCAUAUCUUUCCACAAUUUCAUUUUUAUAAUACUUUAUGCAUAUUUCAUCAUCUCAUAACACAUUUGUUAAACUUUUAUCAUAAAUUUUUUUGUUUACAUACUGAAUUGUUUCACACUUAAAUUUUUGUAUAUUUUUCAAUUUAAUCCCUAUUGUCAAUAAUUUAUUUUUCAUUAUAUAAGCACUUUAAUCAAAUAAUUCAUUAUAAUAUUUUAUUUCACAUAACAAAUUUUAAUGCAUAUCACUUCUCUUGUUUCAAUUAUAAAUUUUACAAAAUUUAUAAUUUAAUCCUUAACAUCAUGUUGAUUCAUUAUUUACUAUAAUUUUACCUUAAUAUCACUUUGUAAUCAAUUUACUACUUAUCAUAAAUCUCAAAUGUAUGUUUAUUUCAUUGAAAAUAACUUUUAUGAAAUAUUUUUAACAAAUUUAUCAAACAACAAAAAUAUUUUACGCAGAUUCAUCCAAAUACAAAAAAAAAUUAAUUUUUCCAAAAAAAAAGCACUUUUUAAAAACCAUUUUCUCUAAAACAAAUGAAGCAUGCAUUUUCAGUCAAUUUCCACUAUAAAAAAAAUUCAGUAUUUAAUCGAUUGAUCCCCAACUUAUCAACACCCAACAAAAAAUAGUCAAUAGAAAUCAACAACACACCACCAUAACAAAAAUCCAUUUUAUUUUUAAUAUUAUUUUAUCACCAUAAUGCUGCAAUGCAUUUGAUCAAAGACAGUAUCUUCCUGCCUAAAUUGCUCAGAAAUUACAACCAGAAGCAUUAUGCCAUAAAUGCCACUCUUUAACCUGCAAAACAUAAAUUGUGAAAUGAUAAAUAUUUGCAACAUAAACCAACCAAAAUAAAAGCAUAAAUUAAAUACAAGUUUAUUCACAUAUCAGCCAUGGUUAUGUUUUAAAAUAGUAUAUCUAGCAGGAGUAUGUUAAAUUUUUUUAAGGGUUUUUUUUGGAAGUUUCUUGGAGAGGGUUAUGUCCUAGUACCAACAUCCAGAUAUGCUCCGGAUAUUGGAAUCAAUCAUGGCAUAGCAUUUUGCCCCCUCUACUAAAAAAAAAUGAACCAAUCAGUCCAUUACAUUAGAUAAAAGAGUAAACUAAUCCUUCUGUUAAAAAUUCUAUCCAUUUUUACUGUUAAAAACCUAUCCUUGCAUAUCAAUAUACGUGACAUGUCAUGCGUAAUUGUCUAGUUAUUAGAAAUGGAUUAAAUUUUUAACAAAAAAAACCAAUUUGCUCUUUUAUCUAACAUUUUUGAGUAAAGGGCGCAAAAUACAAUCUAACUCCUAAUACAGGGCCUCUGUGGUACUUUUACCAUAUGAUGGCCUCCUUUAUAAAUUCAAUUUCAAGGAACAUAUGAAAUGCAUUCUUCUCAUAUUUCUUCUAUCAUUAUUGUGCAAGUUAUCUCAUCAGAAAGGAAUGAUAUCUAUUGAUGUAACCUAGU